UCCUUGUUCCAUCAAUUUUCCGUUUCUCGUAAAAAAAGCCGAGAGCCGUACACAGAUUUCUCAUCACACAAAGCGCUACACCCGGUGGGAGCGCUCUCUGCUGAAAAAUAUUUACAGGGUACAGCGAUGGCACGAGGCGUACAGAAAACGAAACCAAAAGGCAAAUGCGAAAGGCGAGGGGCAUAAGAGCCCUCUGCUAGGAUCCAUCUAAAUUCCUACGCGCACACGGAGAGGCCACACACGGAGCUAGCACAUAGCCGGGGGCGACGCGACGGGGCGAAUCUCUCUCUUCUCUUCCCUCCACUCGUCCCUAAAUCCAGGCCGUCAGGGUGGGGGCCGGCGGCGACCACGACUCGUCGGCGGCGGUGGUGGCGGCCGGGAGGAGCCGGGAGCGGCAGAGCGGGCAGGUGGCGUGGUCGUAGUCCAGCCAGGUCUCGAGGCAGGCGCGGUGGAAGAGGUGGCCACAGGGCAGGCGGUUCACCACGGCGUCCGCCUCGAAGCGAACAAGGCAGACGCGGCAGUCGGGCGUCGGCGAGGCCGCCGCGCCCCGCCUCCGGCCGAACCGCGCGGGGCGGAACCUGCUCCUGAACCUCUCGGCCAGGCUGGGGCCCGCCGGGGUGGCGGCCGUGAGCUGGUCGGCGCCGUCGGCGUCCUCCCCGGCCAGCAGCGAGGGCGGCGCGGGCAGGCCGAGGAAGACGAGCGCGGCGCGGAGGAGGCCCGCCAGGGCGGCGAUCGAGACGACGGCGUGGUAGAGCAGGUAGAUCAGGAGGCUCUCCUUGGGCGCCGGCAUGCUGGAGAUGCCCAUCGCGGCGGCCUGGAGGAGGAAUGGGGAUCGAUCCGGGGACCCGUCUGCAAUUUGCGCCUUCUUUCGGGGUGGUCUGGGCGAGGGAGCGGUGCGGUGUGGGUGUGGUGGGAUGGAUACAGUGAGGGAGGGAGGGGGAGUCGGGGUGGGCGCAUUUAUAGCCGGCCCGGGGGCUGCUGGUGUCACCUCCCUAUCCAUCCCAUCUCGUUCGGGUGGUGCACCGCGACCCGUGUUCGGCAGCCCGCCGCCGUCGGAUCCGCGCGACGGACGCCCGAUCUCAUCCCAGAGGGGGAGGAGGGGGGGACACCCCACAUGCGGUGCGGUGCGGUUCGAUCGUGGGCGCCCAAUAAUUCCCCGCUCUGGUUCGGUUCGUGGCGCCCAAUAAUGCGUGCAUGGUUCCUGAGGCCAAUUAUUUGGGCCGGCCGAUCCAAGACCCGGUGGACCCAUUUGUAGUAGCACGUGCAGUGCACCGCACCGGCGACGAGACGGUACAACGUCGAGCGACCGAUCUCACUGUCACGGGACAGUGCGCCCUCCCGGAAGAAAAUCGUCGGGCGCGAUUGGCGAGGCCGAUUGGCUCCGACAGAUCCAUAUCAGAAAGGUGAGGGCGAAAGGGAAUUCAAUUCGGCCUACCGAACGUAAGCGGCUCAGCACGAUUCCUGCCAUUUAUCCGCUCCGAACCGUGACGUGCUUGACUCGGAAGACAUUAUCGCAGCCUCAUUUCAGUUGAAAAGACACGGGAUUUUUUUCCCCGAAUCUUUUGUUUUGGAAGCAGUACUAGUAUUUCCUUCCGAUUCUGCAGGAAUGGUUCGGAUCAGCUCGCCGAUCGGGUUGCCGUGCCUGCACGACUGCGGCCGGCCGGUCGAACCGACCCCGACCCGACGCCCGGCCGGUCACGGUCAGCCCGUGCACCGAGCGGGAAUCGAUCUCCUGGUACGUACGCCACUGCACUAGCACCACGUCCCCUCCCCGUCGACGCAGUUACGGGCGCGACCAGUCUUGGACGCGCGAGACAGGGACGCGAGAGACGGCGACCGGCGCGGCCACGGGCGCUGCGGCUCGGCCGUUCAGGCUCGGCGGACGGACGCGCGGCCGCCAGGUCCGGUGCCCCGCCCUCCAGGGUGCCUCCGGCGACCCGUGUACUGCCCGUGGGUGCCGGCCGGCCGCGAUGGACGCGGAGGUUCUUGGCUUGACCACUAGGCACACCAGUGGGCAGCGGCUGCUUUGCGUAAUUGCUUGCCAUGGGGAAAAGUCUCGGUGGAACGCACCUAAUCAUUUUUCGUUGGGGUGCCGCCGGUCCGUCGAUGAAAGUUGCCUGGCAAGCUACCGACUACAGUACUGUACUGGGAGUACUUGUUUGUGUUACGUGCCCGUCGACAGUAAUCCAUCCAUCGGACUAAUCAACGGAGCUCGGCGUUUCUCUCGCCAAAAUUAAAAACUGAAGACGGUCCGGUUGGGCUAGCUUGACUGCUACUAGUAGUAGUACGUAGUACGUGCAGCUCAAGUUUUUUCUUUUUUUCUUUUUGACGGGUACGUGCAGCUCAAGUUUUUUCUUUUUUUCUUUUUGACGGGUACGUGCAGCUCAAGUAUUUGUGUUGCGUCUGAACUUGACCACGAACGGCCUGUUGACCUGCGCGGCUAACUAGCUAAGCCGUUGGAGUUUUCAAAUGGCGCGUUGCUCUGUCGGUUCAUAUACAAAGGUUUCACCGAAAGUUUAAUGGGGAAUUCUGUUCACACGCGCACCGUCCUCGCCCAAACUGAGAUCGACCGAUAUCUUCAUUUACUACUCCACCGAUGGCGACACCCAAGCACAGCCAUUAGCGACAGGCACGCAUGUCAGAGAAAAUCGAAUUUUUCGGAUCCUUAGCGAGGUUUUCUAUUGCCGAAAACAAUUUAAAAAAUCUGCUCACAGGCGCACCGUCCAGAGACCACGGCACGGAAGCACAACCAAAACGUGUGGGGUGCAUGUUUACGUAGCGAAUUGACGACUACAAUGCAUGAUCAUGCCUCGUAACAGUAACAUUUCGCUCGACCGGCGACAGCGAAGGGCAGGAGGAUUCCUGUGGCCGGGGCGCGCCCCCUACGGCGAGAGCCGUGCCGCGUAGCAUCGCACUCGCGCUCGCACGGCACGGCUCGAUCCACGGCCUAAACAAUGCGGAUGCUUGCGUUAAGCGUCCGGUCUGGCAUCGUCCCUACUGCGCCGGCACAUGCAGCUGCAGUGGCCACCAAUGGACGGACGGACGGACACGCGUGGCCUCAGGAGGUGAUGUGGGCGCCGGUGAUCCACAUCUGGAAUCCGGUGGACGGCUCCGCCCUUUCCGCCAACCUGCCGGUGCGGUCGAUUACUCUAUUCAGGCCAGGAGUAAAAGAUUCCACGGUGGAUUUUUUAAGUAAAUUCCGUGGUGACGGUGCGCUUCAGAUAACUUGCGUGGCUUAGGCUUAGGCUUAGGCUAAGGCUUAGCCCGCGAUGGCGUGGAUCAGCGUGGCGGCUUAACCGCGGGGCCGGCCGGCGAGCAGGCGCGGGCGUGCGUCCACAGGAAGCAAGCGAGGAAGGAAGGAAGGAAGCAGAGGAAAGCGCGUGGGCGGGGUGCUGGGUAGUACCGACGAGGCGAGACCACCGGGGUCGCCGCUGACGUCCGUCGUUGCUUUCCGGCGCCGUCCGAGCGCUGCGGUGCGCCCAGCGCGGCACGCGGGGGCGCGUCCCCAUCCCGCGCGCCCGGGUCACGUGGCCCGCGCUCGGGGCGACAGCGAGGCGCGCGGAAAGCAACGUGGCGGUGUCUCGAACCGGCGAGGGGGAGGGAGGCGUGGCGGGGCCGUGCGCCCGCCCGUCCGAGCCGUCGACGGGGCGCCCUCGCCCUCGUCACGCGCCGCGAUCGCGAUCGCGCGCCCGGGUGGUGCGUGCGUGCGCGCGUGCGCGCGGCUUGACCGCUUGUCCUGUCACCCAUACGUGCUGCGUUGGACCGUGGUGACAAGUGUCUGCCACCAUGUUGACAACUAGUCCCGUCGGGAGUGAGACCCGUACGUGUGUCUGAGAGAUCGAGAAGCGUGAUCGGAUUUCUCUCUCUCUCGUUCGCCCCAUCGCCGGCGUGUGCUGCUUGGAAUUCCAAGCAUCUUUGUACGCUGCUGCUGCUGGUAUGUCUCUCGUCGUUGUGUCCUGUGUGUGCGUGUGUUUGGUGUCAUGUCAGGCGAGGAUCUUCGUCCGGCGACCCCUGGAACCGUCUAGAAGCAAGCACGUACGCCACAGGGUUACUGUAUUUGUUUUUCUGAUAAGACCCCACUCACAUUGGAUGCAUUUGAAAUUGACGCGCCGCUUUUACGGUACCAAAAUGACUCACAGGGCAGCAGUAACUAACUCCAUCAGGGAAAUGAUAAAGCACAACAACUAGAAAACAAACUCGGAUAUAUUGAAGCGGAUAACUAGCUUGAUUCAUAAGGACGCAAUCCAGACCAUGAACUUGCGAACCUAGAUAGAAUCACAAGACGAAACCACAAGGGUCCUUAUGGAUUAAGGGCAAGCCCUUCAAUCCACACACGGGUUAACACUCAAAGAACUAAUGCUCACAACACAACACCUACAACGCCAUGACCAUCUUAACUUUUUUGGCUUCUUCAUAUCUAGGAAUUGCUCGCCCUUGAUUGUUUUAUCCAUUAUAGGCUUCAAGACAUGGUUCACUCCAUGAUGCAUGAAAGAAUACUUGUUAGAACUCACAUGGUGAGUAGCAUUGUGAUCAAACUGGCACAACCUCUCAAAAGGAGAUGACAAGCUUGCAUCACCACCUUGUUCACAUGACUUCCCACUGAAAAUUGCACCCUAGCAUGAUGUGUAAUCUCCAGCUUACCAAAACCAUUCAACUACUUCACACAAUAGAGAAACACUAAGGAUCUGUGUAGAAAUGAUACACAUGUUGUCUUUGCUUUGAUCUUUUUGUAAUAUGGGCAUGUUUUUGAUUUUUUUUCUUGUUUUUUGAUAGAAUUAAUACUCCAUGUGUUUCUAAAUAUAAGUCCUUUUAGAGAUUUCCCUAAGGACUACAUAUACUAAAAUCUCUAAAAGGACUUAUAUUUAGGAACAGAGGGAAUACAAUUUAAUGGAGGACAUGCUGGAUUUUGUCUUACAAGGCACGACAUCCCCACUUUGUCCGAUCGGGCUCAAUGGAUUUAGUAAUUAUAGAAGAAAAAAACACUAAGGAUGAAUAAGAGAAAGUGGACAGAAAUGACUAGCGACGACGAUGAUAACCAAUAAAACUCCUUGAAAUCAAUGGAUUGGUUGCUUAACAACGGUGUUAGCCACGAGCACAACAAUCAAUAGGUGGUGCCAACAAGUUGGGUCGACGCCACCAAGGUGGUUAGAAUCAUGAUCCUACCUUCCAAUUGUACGAAUUUACACGAUGGCUGGACUAGUUACACAAUUCUAGCUAGUACAAUCUAUGAUUUCUAGACUUUGUUAGUUAUAUUCCUUCGAUUUGCAUUGUUAUCAUCCGCGUUGAUUAUGGAGGCCCCGUUCGCUUCAAAGGAUUAUAAACCAUAGGAAAGUAAAAAGGUGUAGGAACAGGGAUUCCUUGUAAGUGCUAUACGGAGGAAUUGAAACAGAGGAAAGAAACAAUCGCUGUGCGUUCGGAAUAUCGGAUGGGCCACUAGAGAUCGUACUAGUAUUAAUCACGCAGCAGCAGUAGCUAUGCGAUUUUUUUUAUUCGCAUAUGGUCAUUCUUCUCUCACACCUCAACCCUAUGGCAGUAUAUUUUACUCGGCUCGUCAGGAGGGCAGCCUCGGGCUUCCGCCCAAAAAUGUGGUCAGGGCAAAUGUGUUUAUUCCUAUGGAAUGAACACUGUUAUGAUCAUUUCCUCUAAUCUAACUGUAGCAGCUUCCUUUGAAAAGAACGCGGCAAAGGAAAAAGAAACGGUGGAACUCACAAUUCCUUCGGAAUGUGUAGAAAUCCUGUGAAGCAAACGGACCCGGAAUUGUGUUUUCCAACAAACUUGGGCACAGUUGGUAUUGAAUAUUGAUUGCAGACUUGUCGUGAUGGUAAUGGCCACAAAUGGAAAUUUCUAUGAACCAAUAGAGGAAGAGACGAAAUUCUGAUGACUAUGUCACUAGGUGGCGAUGGUGAAACAUCGGGGGAGAGGAGAGUAGAACUGUACGAGCAUGAUACUGGGAUGCACCUGACAAAGUGAUGAAACUUUUUUUAACAUUUGUAUUACUCUCGUAGCAAAACUACCAUAAUUCUAAUAAAGUCUGAUGGCGUCUUCAGGGCCAGAUCCGAGCCACACAACAGUGCACCCAGAGGUUCUACCAUAAUUUGCCAUAAAAUGGCUUACAUCAUUCUGAGUGCGAAGAAUAUGAGUAAUACAAGAUUUUCAUUGUUCCAUAUAAGCAAACUAAUCUCACAAACAAUAAAGUAUUAACGAGAUCUGGCCAAAUUCCUUUUCUUCAGCAUAUUCACAACUUGUAGGCAAUAAUGUUCCAAUGGCCAUUGGGAGCUGACUCCAUUGAAGAUCAAGCGUCGAACCUUCCAUAAUCACUAGAAAUUCAGCCUCGAGGGGGUCACUGCAAUUCAGCAAUUACAUGCAUGCAGGGAAAACUAUGGAGCCCGGCUGACCUUAGAGGACCAUGCCGCUCCCCGCAGCGACAAUAUCUUCAGCAGAUGACCCAUUCAGUGUUGAAACUUGAUCGUAUAGUCGUCCGAAAAUUGCCGCGAGUUAGUCCCAAAUGAAAAUCAGUCAACAUCAUCAUUAGUACCCCCUUUGUAAAUUAAUAUAAGAUCUUUUAGAUCACUACUUUAGUUUACCGAGGGGGUAUCAGUGUACCAUUUAAGCUGCACCAACCCAAAUAAUGCCGAACCAUUUGCUUAAAAAGUACAUAUUCAACAUCAAAUAUUGCAAGUGUACAUGUUGCCCCCACGACGGAUAUGAGUAAUACAAGGUUUUCAUUGUUCCAUGAGCAAACUAAUAUCACGAACAAUAACGCAGUAACGAGAUCUGUCCAAGUUUCUUCUCUUCUGCAUAUUCACAGCUUGAAGGCAAUAUGUUUCAAUGGCCAUUGGGAGCUGACUCCAUUGAAGAUCAAGCAUCAACCUUCCUUAAUCACUAGAAGUUGAGCCUCGAGGGGGUCACUGCAAUUCAGCAAGUAGCCCGACUGACCUCGGAGGACCAUGCCGCUCACAGCAGCGCCAAUAUCUUCAGCAAAUAACCCAUUCAGGGUUGAAACUUGAUCAUAUGGUUGUGCGGAAAUAGCCACGAGUUAGUCCCAAAUGAAAAUUAGUCAUUGAUAUUAUUACUCGCUUUGAUUAACGUCAUCAUUAGUAGGAGUACCAUUUAAGCUACACCAACCCGAAUAAUGCCGAACCAUUUGCUAGAAAAUAGAUAUUCAGCAUCAAAUACUGCAAGUGUGCAUGUUGCCCCCACGACGUAUAUGCUUAUUGAAAGUUUCGAAAGAUUUUUCAGAUCUCCUGAUGAAUAGAUUAUCGCUCGCACAGAGUGUGGACGCUUGUACUUUUGUAGGGAGCCAUGCUAUUGUACGAGUACGGUAUACUGUCCACCGUUUGAAUACUCGGGCCUUCGCUGCUUGCUGGGCCUAUGCCCUUGAUAUUUUUCUGUUUUUGGAUUCUACGGGCGGUUGAAGAAGCCGUCACGCAAUCAGAGAGAGAUAACGGUAACGCUGGACUCCUGGAGACUUGGUGGAGUGCGAUGCUUGGGUCCACGAAGGCUAGUUACUGCCAGAGAGGAGGCCGAUAAGUAGUAGCACUCUCCGAGGAUAACGGUGGGCUUAAGCCUGUGGCCGCGGGCGGCUUCUUCUUCGUCUUCUUCGCCUGGGGAAGAUAGAUCCCGCCGGGAGUUGGAGAGAAGAUUCCGCUGUAAGUUUUCUUCAGAUUCCUGCAAUCUUUUGCCUAGUGUCGGAUUCGGCCGCCAUGUCAGCUAGGUAGUUUUCAAGUCGAGGAUCGAUGAACUGGAAUCUGGAAUGAACUUGGUCUAGAACCUUGUAGAACGUGUGAGUGAUGGGUUCGUAUCCAUACGCACGCGUGUUAGUGGCUUUGUUGGAUGCGCCCUGAAGGCGUGCUGCUGUUCCAGUUCAUGGUCCUUUGUUGCUGCUGCAGCUACUAGAAAAAGUUAGCCAUGCACUCGUUUCAUUUGCAGCCUUGCAGUGCAGGGCUAUUCUGACCAAUUCAAGUUGAAAAUCAGAGCUAGUAGAUGCUAGACUAGUGACUGAUAAUAGCAGAGUGCCUUCUUUUCCGAGGGCACGACCAAAGCAAAGCCGGUUCUCUUGGAAGGAAUUUUGUUCUAGAAGCACAUAUUAUGUUGAACACAAACAAAUACACUGAAAACUUAGUCAGCAUAACCAAAUACUUCUACUACUUGUUUGGCAGAAUAUGAAUACUCCCUCCGUGCGAGAAUAAACGACUCAACUUUAUAUUAACUUUGGGUCAGAUAAGCCGUUCCCAUAGAAAAAUGGCUGUUUCUGUCAAAAGUUCCAAAUGAUCGCAUGAUCCUAGAACUGAAUCGAUCUUGAUAGAUUAUAGAUAUACUAGCACCUCCAUUUCUGAAAGCAACGCACCAUAUGUAUGUUCCUAAGCUUCCAAUUUUAUGGCAUAUUACAGGACUUGUCAGGCACAACUUUCUUAGGGGAAAAGGUGCUUGGAAAUGGCCAGUGACAUAAACGACGCAGAGCACGAGCAGGCAACCGAAAAUCAGUUGGCAAGCAUCAGCCGCCUCACACCAGACGUCCUGCACGAGAUACUUCUCCGGCUUCCGGUGAGCACUCUGCAGAGGCUCCGCGGGACGUGCCACCAAUGGCGCGGCGUGAUCAGCGACCCCUGCUUCAUCAUGGACCAUGCCAACCGUGCACCGGAGCACCUCCUCCUCUUCCUGCCCAGGCUGGAGGCCUCGGCGAGCCUCAAGACCGCCAUGCCUGGCCGCAUGAAGCUCUUCGAUGAGAAAUGGUCCGUGUCAACGUGGGCGGCGGCGUCCAUGGACCCGGACGACCACCUCUUCGCGUCCUGCAAUGGCCUGCUCUGCUUCUACAGGAAGUACACGCUGAAGAUCGUCAACCCCGCGACCGGCCAGCGGCUGCACCUCUCGAAGCCCGACGGGAGAUCGCUCCGCGACCUGUACUAUCUCUACAGCUUCGGGUUCCACCCGGCGACGGGGGAGUACAAGCUCGUCUACUUCCUCCGCGAGCCCCGGCACGGCCGGCCGUCGGGACAGCCGUUCCGCUUCGACGCCGUCCAGGUGCACACCCUCGGCGGGGACGGGUGGCGGGACGUCAGGGCGCCGAGGGAGAGCUGCCUGGUGAACCUCGGCGUCGUCAACGUGGACGGCGCCAUGUACUGGCUCGCGGAGGAGGAAGGGGCGUGCUGCGGCGUGGCGGUCAUGGCGUUUGAUCUGAAGGAAGAGACCUUUGUGACGUUGAGGCCUCCGCCGCUGAGAGCGUGCGGCGGGGCGACGGACGAGCGGCCCUGCGGCGCUCCCGCGCUGUCCUACUACGUGACGGAGGUGGGGAAGAAGACGUGCCUGGUGACCGCCCCUUUCAGCAGCAGCGCCCCCCGGUGGCGCCGCUACAACGCCGAGGUCUCCGGGAGGAUGGACGUCUGGACGCUGGAGAGCCGGGGCGAGGACCGGUGGUCGCUCAAGUACAGCGUCGACCUGUCGCCGUCGGCGCCGCGGUGCGUCCCGCAGCCGUGCUUCGUCCGCGGGGGGAAGGUCCUGCUGCACGGCCGCGACGGCGACGCGUUCUGCCGGGACCUGCGGGGCGACGAGGACGACGGCGGGGAGGUGAGGCUGCUGAACUUCCGGCCUUACAGGUACUACGAGACGCAGGCGUACCUGUACAGGGCGACGCUCGUCCCGUUGGACGUGUACGCGGGGGCGGCCAUUGCUCGCGCGCCGCACUGGCCUCUCCCGCAACCAGGUUCCUGAAUUUCUGAUUACGACUCUGCGUUGGCCUUCUGUGGUCAUGGUCCGGUAUAGGUGUAGGUAACAGAGAUGUAUUUUGUACAAACUUUCGAACAUGUUUACUUGUGAAACAUGAAUGAAUUAUGGUGUAAUUCUCGGCGGAGAUUUAAGCUACUGGUUAUUGUAACAUAUUGUAUGCUAAUAAGGAUUUUGUGCCCCCGCGAAAAAAUAAGUAUUUUGUGCAGUAAGCUUUUCUGUUUUUUUUUUUGAGGGGAUAAGCUUUUCUGUUCACUCGUGUAGAAUAGCGCAAAUUCUACCCAUGAUAUAUCAAAAUGGAAAACGGCAAAGCUUUCGUCCAGAAAACAGGGCAGCCUCGAAUUUUUAGAUCCACCAAAGUUCCUUUUUUUCUGUGAAAAAAAAAGGUUCUGAACACAGAAUUUUACCCGAGUCCAGUGGAGAAUGGACAGUGUUGGGCUAAUUGGGCCGAACCUGGCCUGCGCAGCAUAAAACACUCGUUCCUCUUCCGCCACGCUAAAAAAAAUAGAACUUGUUCCUCUUGGGCGAAGCCCCGGAGCCGGCACAAAGGGGUCGAAGAGCCAGCCGACGAGGGGGAAGCGGCGGGAAAUCAUUUCGCCGUCAAGCGGAGAGCUCUCCCAUCCCAAUCCCAUGGCGGCGACCGCGGAGCUCGUCUGAUCCUAAUCGUGCUUGUGAGUCCUCGAUACCUUCUUUUGCUUGCGGAAUGCAUUCUCCCCCGAUUUCCUUCUUGUCCGCGCUCCUCCAUCUGUAACGGCGGCUAGGGUUUGUAGUUACUUGCCGUGGUUGAGGUGCUGACUACUUGCUGUAAUGGCGCCCGAGGGCGUCUAGGGUUUGUAGUUACUUGCUGUAGUUGAGGGAUUGAGGCACCGAGGGACGGCGCGCACGAGUGUUCGCUGGAUUUGACAGUAAUCUGCACUUUUGGUGCAUGAGAGAUUUUUUUUUUGACCGUGGGUUCACUUUGGGUAACUAGAGAUUGUUACUUUUUUUAGCCUGGAGUGGUCAAAAUUUCGGAGCAGAAAUUUGGAGAUGCUAUCAGUAUCUUCCUGCACAUUGGUUGGUAAAUUACCUUGAAAGCGAGAUAAAAAAAAUUAAAAAUGCAUAAAUGUUACCUUCUUUCUUUGCCCAUGAAAUUACUUAAAUGUCAGUUUCUAUGUAGCUAUCAUUAAUUGAAAUGUGUGUUCGCAGAAGGGUUUGGUAUUUCAGCUACUUCGGCAUUGGAUGCUCACUAUGGUCACUGAAGAAACCAAAUCAAUGAAGCAAAUAAAUGAGGAAUGCAUCAUAAACCACCUCCCAGGGGACCUCAUUGAGCGGGUCUUUUUGAGGCUUCCAGUGAGCACUCUGUUGACGUGCGUCGGAGUCUGCAAGCAUUGGCACAACAUCAUCCGGGAUCCACAGUUUGUUGCAUUGCACCUCCAGUGUGCGCCAAGUUAUGCCCUUGUGUUCUUCCCGCCAGGUUUGGUUUCAGGGAAGCACUACCCUAGCGAUGCUGUCCUAAUUGAUGAAGCCUGGUCGCCAUCGACAUAUACAGUGCCAGUGAUUGGGCCUGGUGAUUUCCUUUUUGGUUCAUGCAAUGGCCUUCUUGGCUUAUACACAAAGACAUCAAUGAUCAAGAUAGCUAACCUUGCAACUGGUGAAUGUCUACAUCUUGGGAAACCUGUGAAGAAUCUGAAAGGUGAUCAUUUCUGUUUCUAUAGCUUUGGAUUUCAUCCCGUGACAAAAGAAUACAAGAUUACACACUUCCUUGGUGAUUGCAUUAAUGGUCGUCCCCAUAAUAAAGACAAGUUCAACAUCAUUCAAGUUUACACGCUUGGUGAUGAGAAAUGGAAAGAUAUCCAAACUCCAGAAGCUCUUAGCUUGAUCAGUGUGAGAAACUCUGGAGUUGUCAAUGUUGAUGGAAAAAUGUAUUGGUUAACUGAAGACAUGUCAGCUAGCUGGCAGCAUGCAGUUAUGUCCUUUGAUAUCAGGGAAGAAAGUUUUGCAAUGAUACAACUGCCAGCAGCACGCGAAGAUCAUGAUUACUAUGGUUCUCGUAAGUUCUUGAUCAGAGAUAUAGAUGGGAAAAUAUGUAUAGUGACUGCUCAAACUAGUCGUUAUGAUGCCAGAACUCUUGUCGGUGAGCUGCAGAUCUGGGCACUUGACAACAUGGUAGAGCAAAGGUGGAGCCAGAAGUACAACAUUAAGUACCCACCAGAUUACAUUCUGGGUCCACGUUUUGUUCACAGGGAUAGAAUCCUCACACAACGUGGCCACAAUAAUGUAUGUUCGUACGAGUUGCUUGGUGAGAACUUCGAGAUUGAUUCAAGUAAGAUGGUGAAGCUGUUAGAUUUUAGUCCCUGCAGGCACAACUUGCAAUCUCACAACUGUGUGAAGUCACUUGUACGUUUAGAUGUAUACAAGAAUGCUAAGAUUGUGUGUAGGCCAAAACAGCGGGAAGGCUGGGAAUUGAACAAGUGGGAGGCGUGGGAGCGUGGGCUCUCUGAGAAUGAAAAAUUGCGGAGUGUCAUUCACCAAGUUGAGCUUAAUGGAAUUGUAUGUCGACUGCAUUCAAAUUGAGUUUAGCAGACAUUCAUUAUUCUGGAAAUUUUAACAAUAGCUGAGUUGCAGAAAUUUAACGGAAAUUCAUUAUUUGACAGGCAUGUGCACAACAAAAUGGCAUAUGGUUCAAUGAUAUACUGCAACAUAUAUUGGAUGAUGCGAUUCGACGGGAAAUAGGCAUGAAAAUCGAUCAAAUAUUUCCAAACUUUCCAGACCAGGUAAUUCUUUACCUAAAUGGACGUCAGCAUACCUUUAUUUUUCACAUUUAAAUUUGAAUAGGCAUUAAUCAUUUGAAAAGCAGAGGCAUAUGAAUGUUUGAGUGCACCCUUAUCGUUGUUGUAACACAUGCCUUGCAUGAGACUCCAGCAGACAAGACCCCUCCGGCAUCUUAAUUGUGUGGCACAGAAGCUGGAUCAGGACAAUUUAAUUGCUCGUAUUAAUAAUAGUGAGACUAUUAUAAAGGUAUAGUGUUUUAAAUUUACAAGCCAGAUCAUUGACGACUUUUCGUUGAAACAUGUCAAAUGAAUAAAGUUAAACUUGUCUACAGGCUAUGAUUCAGACAACAAAUAGUAUCUUUGACAUGAUUGAUAGUGCUGUAGAUGACCAGGUAAAAGUUUACAUUUGAUCUAAUUUUUUCAUGUUUUCCCUUUCUGCUAUAGCUCGCUAGUUCUCGUCUCCAAUAUCUGUUUUAAUCUCUUCCGGAAUAAAAGAAAUAGUUUCUUAUGAAAUAUAAGCAAAGUAAUUGGAUUAUCUCAUGUCAUACAAAUGAAUGACCCCCUUGUAAUAAUGCAAUUAUUUUCCAUCCCAUAUUUUAAUUUAUGCAUACACCUGUACUUUAGUUCUUUUUGCUAAGUGUGCAAGUUGUCUAGUUGUCGUGUUCAUUGAUUUGUUAGGUAGGUAGCCCGUACCCCACAAUCAACAAAUUUUGCAUCAGUAAGAAAUAUUUUUUUCAUCAAGGUUUGUGUAAGUGCCCUAAAUUUGGGAACUGGGUUGGUUGCAAAACACUUUACGUGUUGAUUCCUUUCUUAACUUGUAUUUUCAGACUUACAGACAUAGAUAUAGGCUCUGCCAAGUUUUAUCGUCUUUUAAUGGCAUGGUAUUGCUUUCAGUCCCAUUCUUAUACAUUUGCUGGCAGACUUAGUGAAUAAUGGUUAAUUGAGCAUAGCUGUGCAGCUGUGUUUGGAACUAAAAGUUACUUUGGUUGCUGUCAAGUAAUGUAAGAGGUACUUAAAGUUGUUCUACAUCGUACAGCUUUAUAUAGCAGACAAAUUAACAUAUAAGACUUGAGGAACAUUCAGAGUAGGAAGCAUGGAUUGAUUGGUAAAUGUUAAAUUUUCCAUUUCCCGUUUUCUCGUUUGAGCUUCAAGUUCAAAAUCUGGCGACAUGAUUAUUAUGCUGUCUGUGCACCUUUUCUUUUUAAAGGAACUGAAAACAUUUUGUUAUCUUUUCCUGUAAUGGGAAUUCUAGACUUUUCCCUGAUGUGUGAUGAAAGUACCAUUGUCUUGUGUUUGAACCUUACUCAUGUUUCAGAUUGGUGCUUCGAGUACAAAUGCUGGCAUUUCUUCUCAGAAUCACAGCGAGGGCGAUGACGCGAAGACUUGAUACUUGAGAGCUUAUCGUCAUUCUUCUCAGCCUACUAAGGCUGUUAUUCAACUCUUGCUUCUUUUUACCGUCGAGGGACUUGUUAGCUCUUUCUCCUGUAGAGCAGUUAUUUCUGCAGUACCACCGUUAUGUUUUCUCCAUUUCAAUUUGUUGCACUUGGACCUGAUUAAAAAUAUUGGUCUGUUUGAGACACUGAAGAAUUUGCUUACUGAAAGACCUUUGAUCAGAAGAUCCAAACCAGGUUCCUGACACGCCCUAUAUUCUGAAUCUCUGUUACAAUUCUGCGUUUGCCUUUUGGGGUCAUGGUCCAGUAGAGUAGCAAGGUAUCUUACGUAUCUUUAGAACAUGAUCAUGCCGGAAAUAUGAAUUGUGGUGUGAUUCCGGUCAGAGUUGUAAGCAAGUGGCUAAAUAUGUAAAUUUUCAUUACUGUUUUGCGCAGUUAGCGUUGUUUGUUAAUUUGUGAACUGCAACGCCUCCAAUUUGCACGCCCUGAACACAGCGACCAUGAUCUUGAUCCCGAAACACGAGGGCGCAACGCAGCUCACUGACUUGAGGCCUGUUAGCCUGAUCCACAGCGUCGCCAAAUGACGUUGUGCUCUUCAUCAGCCCAUCCCGGACUGAGAUGCAUGCCGAUGCCGUUGUCACUCUUGUGGAGUUGUUCCACUCCAUCUCGGGGCUGCGGACCAACUGGAGCAAGAAGAGUGCAGCAACUCCGAUCAAAUGCUGCCACGACCACGAGACGGCCCUGUUGGCUGCCGUUGUCUGAUGCAAGGCUAAGAAGAGAAGAUCUACAACCAAUCCUUGACGCACUGGCCAAGAGACUCCCUGGCUGGACAUGUAAGCUCAUUGCACUACCAGCAAGAAUCCCAUUUGCUCUCUCUGCCACCCACACCGACCCCGAGACGGCGUUACAUCUCAUCGCUGGCUACCCCUUCUCCCGGCAAGUUUGGGCACAAACGGCCUUCUACUUGGGGAGGCCUUUCUCUGACCUGGACAUGUCCAUGGCAGGCAGCCUACGCUCUCGGCUCCGACGGCCGAUCUCCAGAGCCACCGGGAAGGCUGCCUGCCCCUGCCUGCUUGUUUCUUGGUGCCUUUGGAAGGAAAGAAACGACAGGAUCUUCAACGCUAAAUUCAGCUCUGUUGCACACGUUCAUCAUUGACGAUAGGCAGUCUGAUGGAUGUAGACCUGGCCAUGGGCAGCCCGGCCCGAAAAUCCUGGGCCGGGCUGAGCCCGUGUGUGCCAUCGGGCCUGGCUCGGGCCUGAGAAAUGAGCCUGACAGGUAAAUCAGGCCGGGCUCAGGCCUGCAAAAAAUGUGAUUUUAGCCGUUGCCGGGCCGGGCUCAGGCCUGCAAAAAACGUGAUUUUAGCCAUAGCCGGGCCGGGCCGACUGGGCUUGGGCCGGAAUUAGUAGGCCCAAUUACUGGGCCGAGCCGGGCUUUUUAGCAUCAGGCUUUUUUAGGCCUGGCCCGAAGACCGGCCCGGCCCGAGAUAUGCCCAGGUAUAGAUGGAUGUGCUGCACUUUAUUCUAUGAAUGGAUGGUGCUAGGCCGGUGUUUGUAGGCAGGGUCUCCGGCGCCCUGCUCUGUCUCCUUUUCUCGUUUUUUUGCACCUGUACUGUACUUUGUACUCUCCUUCAUCAAUGAAAAUCAGCACCCUGCUGCUUUUUCGUCAAAAAAAAUUCUACCCCUGAGAUCAAUGAAAAAUGACAAGCUUUGCCAUUUCCUCCAGAAAAUAAUGAAUCGGGGAAUUGUUUCUUCUUUUAAAGGUACAAAAUUAAGAUUUAACUGAAGUUCUAUAAAUAUUUUUGAACAAUGCUGUACUCGAGUGUAAUGGAGAAUGGCAGUAGCGUUUUGCUAAUUAGGCCGAAGACACAGCAGUCGAUACCGAAUCUUUCUGAGAGCCAUUUUUGUCGGGUUCGAUCCUACGUGGCACGCGCGAGCGAGCGCCCUUGAUGCAUACAUUAAUGUUUGGGAAACGUUUGCUGCCGGUGCGCCGGUCGAAGCGUUGCGCCGGACGCGCGCGCUUCGUUGGAUCGAAGGCAAUCCUACAGCCCUUGUGUGUUGUCUUCCACUCGUCUCUUUUCUUCAGAUCCCGUCGCGAUGCAAACUGCAUCUCCCGCUCACGACCAUAACCCAUCCCCUCCAUCCCGCGAGCGGAAGUUGUUGUGAGAGCAUCGGUCUCCGGCCACCGCCCUGCACCACCGGGCGUGAAACCGAGGCCGUCAUCUAUUUGUCCUACUCCAGCGAACUGGCGGCCACCCCCACACUUCCUCCUCGGCUUUUUCCCCUCUCCAGCCAUGGGACAAGAGCAGUGGCGGAGCUUGGCCCAGAAAAAUGGGCGGGCCGGCUGUAGAAAAGAACUAUUAGGAUAGUGUUUCAUGGCCCAAAAGUAAGUAUAGACUACAGAAAAAUCGCAUGGGCUGGGCGGGCCACGGCCCAUUCGCCUUGCUGUAGCUCCGCCACUGGACAAGAGAUGGGUGGCCCUCUAUGUUGCAACCAGGCGGCCGAGGUGUCGCCGUAGACGAAAGCCAACCAAUGUUUGCGGACCGUAGGGGACGCAUGCUGGGACCAGCCCCACAGAUGCUACAACCAAUUUAUUUUUUGCUCGAACCACCAUGAGAGAUGCUGGGAAGCUGCUACUGCGUGCAAUCGAGCUGCAACCAGCAGCUCAAAAAGCUACAUCCGGCGACUUUGUUUGCUGGAACCAGAGAAAGCGGCGGGGUUGUGUCAGGCGACGACGUACGACCGACGUACUGCGGAGCUGCAACCUGCAACAACAUUUGUUACAACCGUUGACCAUUUUUGCUGGAACCAAAGAAAGUGACGGGGUUGCGUCAGGCAACGGCGGAGCUGCUACAUGCGGCGAAAUGCUACGACCACCGUGAUGCGGAGCUGCAAUCGGCAACACCAUUUGUUACAAACAUAGUCCAUUUUUGCUGGAACCAGAGAAGAUCGAGGCUACUAAUGGUGCACGGCGAGCUUCAACCAGCGACAUGAGAUGCUACAACCAGCACAAUUUUUUGCUGGAACCACAUAUUGUGAUUUUUGCGAGUUACUUCGUCGUCUCCAUCGUUCCAUCCAUGCUGGGGCGGCACCGGUAGGGGCACAAUGUUCCAACCACUUACUUGUUUUGCUGGAACCAGCGAGGGACGAGGAAGCGUCGUACUAUUGCCGGCGAGCAGAGCUGCCGCGGCCAACGACGGCAACCCAUGACCACAAAGGGCGAGGGAGAAGUGUAGGGGAGGUGCUGCCGGCGUGCAGCAGAGCGGGUAAAAAAGGCGACCGGUGACGGCGGCGCGUGUCGACGGCGAGGCAAGCCGGCGGGGGCGGAGGCAACGGCUGUCUGGGAACGGGGUGGAGCUGCGUGGCGAGGUGAGGAAGACAACACAGAGGAGAGACACACGAGGGGGGAAGGGAUGAAGCAGCUUUUUGGAUAAGGAACUGAUGGCCUAGAUGAAUUGGAUCGGAUGGCUAGGGCGCGACCGGCCCAAAUUUGGGCCGGCGCACCGGCGCCUAGCGCUGGCCUUAAUGUUUUGGAUAAGGAUUUUGUGCCCCCGCAAAAAAAUAAGUAUUUUGUACAAUAAGCUUUUCUGUUCACUCGUGUAGUGAAUUGCACAAAUUCUACCCAUGAUAUAUCAAUGGAAAAUGGCAAAGUUUUCGUCCAGAAAACAUGACAGCCUCGAAUUUUUAGAUCCACCAAAGUUUUUUUUUUUUGAAAAAAAAGUUAUGAGUCCAGUGGAGAAUGGACAGUGUUGGGCUAAUUGGGCCGAACCUGGCCUGCGCAGCAUAAAACACUCGUUCCUCUCUUCGGCCACGCUAGAAAAAAUAUAACUUGUUCCUCUUGGGCGAUACCCCGGAGCCGCCGGAAGGGGUCGAGGAGCCGACGAGGGGGGAGCGGCGGGAAAUCAUUUCACCGUCAAGCGGAGAGCCCUCCCAUCCCAAUCCCAUGGCGGCGACCGCGGAGCUCGUCUGAUCUGAAAUUCUGAAUCGUGGUCGUGAGCCCUCGAUGCCCCCUUUUGCUCGCGGAAUGCAUUCUCCCCCGAUUUCCUUCUUGUCCGCGCUCCUCCAUCUGUAACGGCGGCUAGGGUUUGUAGUUACUUGCCGUGGUCGAGGUGCUGACUACUUGCUGUAAUGGCGUCUAGGGUUUGUAGUUACUGGCUGUAGUUGAGGGAUUGAGGCGCUGGUGGGACGGCGCGCACGAGUGUUCGACAGUAAUCUGCACUUUUGGUACAUGAGAGAAAAUAUAUUUUGUUGACCGUGGGUUCACUUUGGGUAACUGGAGAUUGUUGACCUUUUCUUAGCCUGGCGAAGCGAGUAUUUUUAGUGAAAAUUUCGGAGCAGAGAUUUUGAGAUGCUAUCAGUAUCUUCCUUGGCACAUUGGUUGGUGAAUAACCUUGAAAGCGAGAUAUGAAUGCAUAAAUUUCACAUUCUUUCUUCGCCCAUAAAAUUAUUUCAAAGUCAGAUCUAUCUAGCUAUCAUUAAUUGAAAAUGUGUGUUUGGCUGUUUGCAGAAGGGUCUGGUAGUUCAGCUGCUUCAGCAUUGGCUACUCACUAUGGUUACUGAAGAAACCAAAUCAAAGAAGCAAAUAAAUGAGGAAUGCAUCAUAAACCGCCUCCCGGUAGACAUCAUUGAGCGGAUAUUUUUGGGGCUUCCAGUGAGCACUCUGUUGACGUGCGUCGGAGUCUGCAAGCACUGGCACAACAUCAUCCGGGAUCCACAGUUUGUUGCAUUGCACCUCCAGUGUGCGCCAAAUUAUGCCCUUCUGUUCUUCCCGCGAGGUUUGGUUUCAGGCGAGCCCUACCCUAGUGAUGCUGUCCUAAUUGAUGAAGCCUGGGCGCCAUCGAGAUAUGCAGUGCCAGUGAUUGGGCCUGAUGAUUUCCUUUUCGGUUCAUGCAAUGGCCUUCUUGGCUUAUACACAAAGACAUCAAUGAUUAAGAUAGCUAACCUUGCAACUGGUGAAUGUCUACAUCUUCAGAAACCUGCGAAGAAUGUGAAAGGUGAUCUGUUUCUACAGCUUUGGAUUUCAUCCCGUGACAAAAGAAUACAAGAUUACACACUUCCUCGGUGAUUGCGUUAAUGGUCGCCCCCACAAUAAAGACAGGUUCAACAUCAUCCAAGUUUACACACUCGGCGAUGAGAAAUGGAAAGAUAUCCAAACUCCAAAAGCUCUUAGCUUGAUCAGUGUGAGAAACUCUGGAGUUGUCAAUGUUGAUGGCAAAAUGUAUUGGUUAACUGAAGACAUGUCAGCUAACUGGCAGCAUUCAGUUUUGUCCUUUGAUCUAUUGGAAGAAAGUUUUGCAAUGAUACAACUGCCAGCAGCACGCGAAGAUCAUGAUUACUAUGGUUCUCGUAAGUUCUUGAUCAGAGAUAUAGAUGGGAAAAUAUGUAUAGUGACUGCUCAAACUAGUCGUUAUGAUGCCAGAACUCUUGUCGGUGAGCUGCAGAUCUGGGCACUUGACAACAUGGUAGAGCAAAGGUGGAGAAGUACAACAUUAAGUACCCACCAGAUUACAUUCUGGGUCCACGUUUUGUUCACAGGGAUAGAAUCCUCACACAACGUGGCCACAAUAAUGUAUGUUCGUACGGGUUGCUUGGUGAGAACUUCGAGAUUGAUUCAAGUAAGAUGGUGAAGCUGUUAGAUUUCAGUCCCUGCAGGCACAACUUGCAAUCUCACAACUGUGUGAAGUCACUUGUACGUUUAGAAGUAUUCAGUAAGGUUGGCAUCGUGCGCAGACCAAAGCAGCGGGAUGGGUGGGAACUGAAAAAAUGGGAAGCUUGGGAGCAGAAUCUUGCCAAGAAGGAAACAAUGUGGUCCAGACUUUAUGAAGACUAGUAAGAUGCCCGUGCGUUGCACGGAAUAACUAUGCAUGUGUUCAGAUUGACGUAUGUCGGGUCAUCCCAUGUAUGUUAUCAAUAUGCUUUUCCAAAUAUUCAAUUAUGUUCCCGAGCUUACAUACAUCCAAAUGAAUAGUAAAUGCAAACAAUAUAGAAUUUUUCAGUAUUACACACACCAUACGGGCUGGGCAUUAGCCACCCAAACCCAAUACACACACGCACAUACACACACCAUACGGGCUGAGCAUUAGCCACCCAAACCCAACACGCGUAAACAACUACUCCCUACAUCAUCCUUGGUAACAUGAACAAGAGCAUCGUCAACCAGUAACCUGACAAACUGCAGUUAACUCUCAUACAGAAAAAAAAAGAUAUUGUACACAGAAUCCCAAAAUAGACCAACACAGGAGAGCACAAAAAGGACGACGACGACUACAUCGCUAGUCUCAUGACCAUGGGGUUCCAGCCAUGUCGACGCCCAUACACUUCCUGCACCACCAUCACCAGCUUGCUGGAUCUAUGUCACAACAGUCCUCAAAGAGCUCCUUUCUGCAAGGUUGCUCAAGAUGUUAGGAACUGACAAACACACAAAACUACAUUGUUUGGAUCCCCAGGACCUUCUUUUAGUCGUUUGCUCAAAACCAUCUAUGCUAACAAUGUUGGCCCUCGAGCUCUGGCUUCAUCCAUCUUCUCACCUAAAAGGAAAUCAGGUAAUCAGUACUGCAUAUAUAUAAUGGUCUGUAGUAUAUUUUGAGAAACGAAAAAACAAGGAGCUUGUAGAGGGUAUGUACUCUGUAGUAUAUUUAGGCAAAGGAAAAAACAUUGAACAACACUUGUACAUUUUGUACAGAAGCAAAGAAACAAAUUGUUAAGUAAAAGAUGCUUUUGAAUCAUAUGUAUUUAGAAGGGGUGAGUGCACAUGCAUGUAGAUACAAAAAUAUUAGUAUUGGACUACUUGUAACUUUCUUACAUCAACCAGGUUUCUGCGAAGAAAAACAAAAUGCCAAUAACAGACAGAAAGGAAACAAAUAUUCAGGGUGUGCCCUGAAAAUUGGAUGUGGAGCUACCAACCAAAUGAAAUGCGUUGAUGACAAAGCAACCUGCUGUCGGCAUUGUUUGAAGGCGUCGUAUCAUGUGCAUCCGGGGUGGGUCGUGCAUCCCUGUAUCCCGUGGCUACUGGCCAGCCGAUAAAGAUCGUACACAUGGGAUCAAAAGCAACACGGAUUUACAAAAAGACGCCCGCAGCCGCUGUUGCUAAUUUGCUAAUGACCCCCUUAACCAAGCAGACCUUUGUCAAAAUAUCAGUUUCUCAAUCUGGAUCCUCUCCGAUCGCUCCAUGGCGGCGGCCAUGACGAAUCCUUCGACGGCGGCCGCGCUCAGCUAGCCGACCUCCGCGUUCUCCUGCCUCAAACGGCUCCACGGCCCGGUGAUCUUUUCAACGGUGGCCGCGCUUGACCAGCCUCCGUGGUCGACCGCCUCAGACGGCUCCAUGGCUCCUUUCGACGGCUGCGGCGAGAUGGACAUCCACCACGUUUGUCCUACCUCCGCGCCUGCCUACCUUCUUGCCGGUUCCCGACGCCGAGUCCGCCGCCGGCCACAACCUGCACACCAUCUACUGCUCCCUCGCAUCCACGGUUGCUCCUUGGCCUGAUGACGUCCGCCUGCUACAAAAGACUGUCGUGGGCAGCGAGCACAACCCAGAAACCCCUGCAGAUUGUAGCUUGUGACCUUAUCCAUUGCAAUUGUUCUUUAUUCAGUGUGUGUGUUGUUUCAGAGUAUAGACUGUAAACUGUACUUGCACAUCGUUGGUGAGUAUUGAUCAGAACUCAGAAUGUGAAUGUAUCUUAGUACUUACAGAUUGUAAGCUUGUGAGUUCAGACAAGUGAAUGUGUAGCUUGUUGUAAAUGAAAAAUUCAGAAAUAAACAAAAUUAUUAUUGCCUAGUUCCUGGUAGUUUGAGGUGUUGUGUUGUACAUGAUGUAAUACAGCUUAACCAGUGCAUAAUAUCAGCUGUUGCUUCUGCAUUCUUUGUGAGUUGUGACUCUGCAUUCCUACUUUUCAUUCACAUAUUUACAAACAAGAACAUGUUGUUGUUGCCGCGAGCUUCCAAACCUGGAAUCUUAGAAACAAGAAGUGAAUGUAAAGGUGUUGGUGACUGCAAAAUUCUGAACAGAAUCAUUGUUUAAUUUCUUUUGGUGAAUGCUAUUGUCGAGGUUGAUGUGGGUUUGGAAACUGAGCUGUUCCAUGCGUGACAAAGUUUCUUGUGCUUGUAUUACUCCUGUGUGAUAGUUGUUUAUCAUUUAUAUGAGAAAAACAGAGCAUGCUUCAGGUUUAUGUGAACAUAAUGUAACAUGGUGCUAUUGCUGCUUGCUACACUCCAUUCAAUACACACAAGUCAGGGAAAAUAAGAGGAAGACAGUUCGACAAAACACAAAAUUCCACCUAUUACAAUCUCGGACUCUUUGCUUUUAACUUUUUGCUAGGACAAUUGCGACUAUCAUGAAAUACUAUUUGUUUGCACUUCUUGUGCAUGCGUGCCACCUUUACCUUGGCUUCCUUCUUCUUUUUCUGUUCCUCCCCAUUUGUUUCCUUUCCUGUCUUUAUUUUUUUCAAUCUCUCCACUGUACGAACAUCAAUUGGUGGGUGUAUGUCAAUUUCUGUUGGAAUGUUGCACAAUAAAAGCCUCGUACUCUGCUUGUCUAGUGUGCUUCACAAAUGAAGUCGGAACCAUUUCAUCCAAAGGCGCAUCUAGGCGUAAAAGAUGGGCACUGGAAAAUAAAUAAUGAAUCAUAAUAAUCAUCAGCAGGCAUAACUCUCUGAACUGAAAAGCAACAUGGUUAAAAAAAAUCUAUUAAACUAAUGAAGAUAGAAAUAUUGGCUUUCAUUUUUGGUGUAGCAAAUUCUCCCUCAUUCAUUUGAGUUAGCAAGCUUUUGCCAGAUACUCUAGCUGCACAUUCAUCUACAUGAUUAGUCGUCGAUACAACAAGUACGCAUGUACAACAUACACAAAUAUUAGUUUUUUGAUGUGUUACCUGAAGCUCCAUGCACAGUACUGCAGUUCAGUUCGUAUUCUGCAACAGUAGCAUUUUUAGGCAAGUCAGAUGUGCGUCCUGAUGGCUAGAUGGGGAGGCAUACUCUGGGUCACCAGUUGAAUUAUGGAGAAACAGGGCCACGCAAGAUCCAUCCAUCACUGUUGAUGCAUGUUCAACAUCCAUAACAACAGAUUCUAAAAAAACACCCAUAAUAACAGGAGAAGCCGUGAUGAUCGGCUGCAGCGUAUCACGCGUCGAGGAUGUGUCCACCAUGCUCAGGGGAGUUCAGGGAUACAUUCUGUUGGGGCGGUCCGUUGUGGAGAUCAUCUCGGCAGAUGAAUUCCGUCGUGGCAAGUGUCCUUGUAGAUGCAUGCCAUCGCGGGCGUGGUUGUCGUUGCGAUGCAUGUUGCGGUCUUGAUUAGGGCUUGAAGGGAGACGGGGAGAAGGGGAUUAGGAGAGCUGACUCCCCCAAGGGGUUAUUAGCAAAUUAGCACACAUAACCUAGAGCUGGUGCGGGCGUGUUUUUGCAGUUUUCUAUUGCUUUUGAUCCGGUGCGUGAGAUGGUGAUCGGCCGGCUGAGGAGGCGAUGGAUACAGGGAUGCACGACCCACCCCGGAUGCACUUGAUACGCCGCCUUGUUUGAAUUAUUAUUAUUUUUAACAAAGGGAGUAACAAAGGAAACUACUAAAAACAAUUCAAACACACAUAUAAUUGUUGUUACAAAAAAAUCAUGAACACUAAAGCAAGUAUCUAAGUUGUCUUUCCGUAAAUCCUCCACAUGACCCUAGUUAGAUAGAUAUAAUUUUUACGGCAACCAAAUUGUACUUGAGUGAUUUAUACCUUGGACUACAUGCUGAGAACUUCUUUGUAGACUAUGUUCUUUGUAAUAUUUGCAGUGGAGUUGGACUGGCCUUCCUUUUUUUAUCCGGUACAGUAAGAAUCUUCAUAUUACUUCUAGAUGUAGCUCUAGAAAGAGCAACAUAGAGCUGCCCGUGUGAAAAUACUGGUUCAGGGAGGUAUACACCAACAUUUGGUAUAGUUUGUCCUUGUGCCUUGUUAAUGGUCAUAGCAAAGCUAAGUCUAACUGGAAACUGCUUCCUCUUGAACCUAAAUGGAAACAUCUCAUCGUCUGAUGGGCAAAGAGGAAUUCGAGGAAGGAACACCCUCUUACCAGCAUGCUGGCCCAACACAAUCUCAGCAUCUAUUGCAUUCCUCAUGAAUCCUCGGACAAUCAACCUCGUCCCAUUGCACAAACCACUCGCUGGGUCAAUGUUGCGUAACAAUAUAAUAGGGCAAUUAAUUUUCAGCUUUAGGAUAUGGGGAGGUAGCCCAUUAGGUGUUAAUGAAUUCAAGAAUUCUGCAGGGUAGUAGUUGUGUGGAUCAUCCUCCGCGUGAUCAAAACUGUAGUAUAUCAUUUCCUCCCCAGGAAACCUCUCAAUCAUUUUCAUGUUAAUCUUGUCAACGUACUCAUUCCGAGUUGACAAAAUUGCUCGGGACGUUAUGUAAUUUGGAUCCAAGAGGUUUUCUUCUAGGGUCAUCUGGAAAACACUUUCAAUAAGCUUAUCAAUAUCAGUGGCGUCGCUGGUGUAUGGUACACAAAUCUCAUCUGGAAGCCGUAUGUAAUCAUCAUCCACGGUAUCUUCAGUGCCAUUCCCAACAAGAAGAAGGUAAUCAGCAAACCAUGGAUCGCUCUGAGCCCUCAUAUUACGGACAAGUCUUAGUUGUCUCAUAUUCUCUCAAAGGUAAGACUUACGCAGCGUCGCGUCAGUUAUUUGGGACCUUGUUCCCUUACGAACAACAGGAAGCACUUGUUUGAAGUCUCCCCCAAACACAAUUGUCUUUCCACCAAACGGCAGGUCAGGUCGAGCCAUGAUGUCCCUCAUGCUAUUGUCAAGGGCCUCGACCGCCUGCCGCUUUGUCAUGGAGGCCUCGUCCCAAAUUAUGAGGGACGCCCUCAUAAGAAGCUUAGUUGUCCCACUUUGCUUGGUCAAACUGCAGACCCCACCGUCUUCGGUGUUCAAUGGUAUUUUAAACCUUGAGUGUGCAGUCCUCCCUCCAGGCAAGAUGGAUGCAGCAACGCCUGAUGUCGCUGUUGCAACAGCUAUUUUACCCUCGGCACGUACUUUUGCAAGUAGUGCUUUGUACAGAUAAGUCUUUCCCGUGCCUCCGGGUCCAUCAACAAAGAACACACCUCCUUGGCCACUAUUGAUGGUCGCAAGUAUCUCAUCAUAUGCAUAUCUCUGUUUUGGGUUUAGGAAAGAUGACAAGCCAAGGUGUUCUGGGUCCACCUCUAUCGUGGACUCCUCUAUGAUCUCCCUAGCCUCAUUAUCUGAGGCAUCAUAUGACUUGUCAAUUUCUGGGAGAGGGAAUGAUGAUAUGUCCUUACCCAUCGAUUCAAGCAUAUUCUUUAUAUCUAAUAACGCCAUCUGCUCAACUGCAUGGGGGCACAUUUGUGUUAGUCGAUAGUCUUCUGUCAUAGCUUCCAUGUGUCUGUCCCAUAGGCCACACACAUUGCUGGGUUCACAAAAGACCAAUAUAGUGGCAAAUAGCCUCCGAAGGGAAGAUAGCAUAUGAAAAACCUUAGCCUCAUCAAGACACUCGUUGAUAGUAUUAUCUGACUCGAUAAGACCCCUCCUUUCAGCAGCUUCACGGAAUGUCGAGUAAAUAAUACCAUUCACUGUUCUAAGGCCUUGGAAGGAUGUAGCACCUGUGACAUGGUUUAGAAGCACUCUAAGAUAAUACCUCUCCCCUUCAGCUGGAUGUGCAAACACAAUUCUCCCAAUCUGUGUGCGUUCAUCCCUCCUUUUCCAAUACUUUCCACCUGACAUCCAAACAAAAUAAGAUGGGAAAUCCUUAUAUAAAAUUCCUCGAGCCAACUCAUAUUUCUUGUUUGCCUCAAAAUACCCAGUCAGCAUGGUCUUGGAAGCUCCUUCUUGAGAGAGGACAUCAUUCAGAUUUGCACCCGCUGGAAACGACACCAUGUGCAUAUUAGGGAGGUGGAGUUGGAGUUGUCUAACAGAUGGAAAUAUCAAGGUCAAAACCAUAUAUCCUCCAUAAUGCUUCUGGUGGAGUAACCCACCUGGAAUCUCGGUAUUGCUUUAUCUCAUCAAUGUUCCUAUCACUAUCCACCUCAUCGAUAGAAACAGAUGCUCGAUCAUGCCCCUUAUAUAUGUAUUUAAAGAGGUACUUUACAGCUUUUAUGCUUGAGCAAACCUCGACAUUGAUGUGGCAAUUAUACCUUCUUAGUAGGUAAGGAUUAUAUGGAACAACCCACCUAUUGUCUAACUCUUGGCCACGUACCUUUGCACGGCGUCCAUCAUCUCUCCUCCUAUAUAUGGGAUAUGAGUCCUUUCCCUGAAGGGUUGACACAUUAAAUGGUCGUGGAUAAUAGUUCUUGCAGCUACCUUUCUGCAUGCACACGUUCUUGGGGUUUAGGACUCCACACGGACCAUGCAUCAUGUGCUUCACGACCAUUUUGUACAACUCGGGAUACUUGGAUUUGUCUGGCAAUUCAGAAGAUAUGAGACAGUCAUAUUGCUCUGGGCAUGUUAGCUUGUACCUCCCCUCCAUGAUUAGGAGGAAAUGAGCAUGUCGUAGACCUCUUUUCUGGAACUCAACUACAUACACAUAUGCUGCUACCUUACCAAGAAUGUGCCUUUUAAAAAGUUGUAUCUUGAGGUCUUCCAACUUUGCUCGAAAUACUCGUACAAUAAGAUCAGGACGAUCCUGUGGGGUUUGUCCAGGCUCUAGCUCACUAAUUAUUUCAUCCCAAUUAGGGUUGCAAGUCAUGGUUAAAAAAAUAUCUGGCUUCCCAUACUUUUGCACCAAGGCCAUGGCAUCAAGGUAUCUUCGUCUCCUAUCUCUUCUUCCCCCAAUAAAUGAUGAAGGAACUAUAGUCCGUUUACCCACUUCAUCCGCACGGUUUUCCCCAGCUUGAAGGCUAUCGACAACACCUUGGUAUAGAUCAGCACAUAUUUGUUUCUGGUGUUUUUUUGUUAUAACAUCCCAAAAUUCUAAAUUUUGGAAUGUUAUAAUAAAUAGAUUGAUUGAUUGAUUGUUUGAUUGUUGUGUGAUUGAUUGAGUGAAAUUCGAAACUUUUUGAAAGUUAAAUGAGAGGGAAUAAAAGGACUUUCCCAAACUUUCACCCUUUUGCAUUUUGAUCUUCGUGAAUUCAAAUUCUUUUCAAAUACAAAACCCUAGAGAGAAGAUGACAUGACUUCUUCCAUUUAAAUAAAUGAAAAGGGUGUUUGAAAAAUAUUUGAAUUUCAUUGGGAAAUAUUUUCCAAUUCAGAAACUUUAUGCAACUCAAUGAUUUUCAUGAGAGAAGAUAAAAUGACUUCUUCAAAUUAUAUGAAAUAUGAGUUGGGAGUUUCAAAGAAUUAAAAUUCAAAGUUUUUUUGAAUUUAUUUUCAAUUUAGAGUUAUUUGAGUUUUUAUUCAAAUUAUUUUUCUCCAAAAAUAAAAUAUAUGGAAAUUAGGGUAACAUGAUUCCCUACAAUAGAAAAUUGGAGAAAAAUUAAUUUGAAAUCAUUUUGGUAUUUUUAAAAUGAUUUUUGUUGGAUUUUAAUAGACUAGUAGCACUCUUUGAUUUAUAUGAAUUUGUGUGGAUUUUAUUUGAAGUUAUAAAAAUGUUCAUGUCGUAGAAAAUCUUUUUCUGAAAAUUUUGAUAUAUUAUAUGCCUAUAUAAUAUUUUUAUUUUGUUUUGUUCUUUUUAUUUUUGUUUGUUUGAGAAUAUGUUAAAAAAAAACUUCUUCUCUCCUCCGCCGCCGAACUGGGCCGGCCCAAUAGGCCACGGCCCAGCCCAGCCAGCGCGCCGCGGCCUUCCUCCUCGCGUGCCUCAGCAGGACUCACCGGAGUCCGGCUUCCCCACGCCGCGGGACGCCCCCUCACCCAAGGAAGGCCUCGGCCUCGUGCCUUUAAAAGGCGGGCCCCCGACGCCCCUUCCUCUCUCUCCUCUCCCCGCAUCCGCCGCCUCUGCCACUGUUUGCUGCUCGUCACCGCCGCCGCAGCGCCUCGCCGCGCCGCCGCCCGCUGCUGCUACACCGUGCGCCGCUCCCCGCUGCCGCACCGCGCAUUGCUGCUGCUCGCGCCGCUCGCCUUGCCCGCACGCCGCCGUGGCCGCUCGUCGUCGCCUCGCCGGAAACCGCCGCCGUCGCUGUUGCCGUCCGAUCCGGUUUUAUUUUAAGUUCGGUGUUUUAAAAAAAAACCCUAGACUAAAUCUGUUUUUUUAGGUUUUAUUAAACAGCGAACGUCCACGGUUUAGACCUUAUAAGCGAAUGUUCGCCUUUUAGUCUUUUUCUUUUUCUGUAAUUUUGGCCAGGGACCUAGAUGUGAAUACUUUAUUUACAGUUUAGUCCCUGAACUUCAAACGAUCAUUACUUUUUACUCGUUAGUCCAAAUCCAACGAAACCAACGCCCACGUCUUCGUUACGAUCUCCUCUAUCCAGUAAAACAACUUAAACAUGUUUUUGAAAAGUUUAAAAUUUGAAUUAGAACUGAUUUGUAUUCAAACUUCUUUUGAUCAUAUCUUUUUAUCCGUAACUCCGUUUGAGUUGAUUCUUUUUGCAAAUUAAAGCUCUUGACCUAAACUUUCUAAUAAGGCCAAAUUCACAUAAUUUUGGUACUGUUAGAAAUUGUUUUAUGUUGCAAGAGCUAUUUGCUUGGUUUUGAUAUUUUCCGAAUCGACUUCUUCGUUCUUUCCAAUCUUUUGAGUGAUUGCUUAUGUGUGGUUACUAUUGUUUGCUUACAAUAGAUUGACCGGAGUGUGACGAGUAGAGCUAUCAAGAGUUUUGAGUGCGAAUCAUCUUCAUCAACAUUGCAGGCAAGUUCACACUUUGAUCAUAUCCCCUUUCAUACCCAGUUUUUAUGCAUUAGUUCCAAUCCUCAAACAUUGCGUGAUUAGGAUGUCAUUAACAUGUGGGUAUUGGGAAGUAAAUGAUCAGGUAGAACCUAUUGCCAUUUUAUUAUCAAACCCCUGGGAGUUACUUCUACAUUAUGCUUAUAUCACUAUGCUAUGCACGUAGACGUGGAUUGGUUUGAGAGAAUUCAUGAAAGAUGUGAGAGAUUAUUGUUAACUAAGGUUUAACUUAAGGUGGCUACUAUAAUACACAUCUGGGUGGAUUGGUUGGGGCACCCUGGGGAUAUACCAGUGGACUUGCCCGGACACCUGGGGAUAUACCAGUGUUGUCCUAGGAGAUCCUGGGGUUACCGUGUGAUCAUCCUAUGGUUCGCCACCCAGGCUCAAAGGGAUCAUAAGAUUAUUCAUGCUAGAAACUUCCGUGUGCAGCCACAAGCUAUUAUGGGCUCUAGCAUAGUUGACUAAGUCGUGCAAACUCUUACAGUGGUAGACUAGCAGAUGUAGGGGAUGUAGGUGGUACGGUCUACCCGAUCGUAAGGUGCUAGCGCUUCUGAAAGACUAUGUCUCGGUCAUCCGUCUUCUCAAACACCAUGUAGUGCGAGAAACCAAACGGAGGCGAUCGAGUCUUGUGGGGAAAAGUGCGCAAACCUCUGCAGAAUGUAUAUAAACUAAUCAUGAUUAGCCGUGUCCCCGAUUAUGGACAUCUUGAGUAUCUAGUACCUGGAUUAUCAUGUGAAUCUCAUCAUGUUACCUUAAAUUAAGUUUGUUGGGUUUAAUGAGGAUAUUUAAUUGGGAUUGAGAAUGCUGUCAACCAUUCUCAAUGUUCUACAACCACCAUGAUAGUUAAAUAAAAAUUUAUUCCUUUGCAGUAGGGAAAAAUUGGCUUUUCGCAAAAACCUUAUAACCAUAGAGCUUUUCCACCAACCUUAAAUGCAUGUAGUGAUAGCCUUUAUUCAUCAUUAUCCUCUGGUGUGAAUUUGCAAGUACAUUCAAUGUAUUGACCCUUUGUGGCUGCAACGUCUCAUGUUGCAGGAGUAUUUUACGACGAGUAAGUGAUACGUUAGGGUUACGAUUUCUACACUCGACUUUGCCGUUGGUGUUGAUGGGAAUCCACAACCUUGUUACUUCCGCUAUUUUGGAUUGAGGUAAUAGUAUUUUACGUUACCUAUACAUGUGAUUUACCUCUGUUAUAAAUCCUCGAGUACUGUGUGUGUCAGCAUACCGAUCCAGGGAUGACACGUAAGCACAGAGACUUGAUACAUUCGGGUCGGGUCGCUACAUUUUAUAUAGUCCAAUCUUGAGCUUUCAACCUUGAUGUACAUAUCAACCACAUAUUGUUGGAAUAGUCGUUUACCGUAUAGCAUUGUGUUAAAUACACCACGACGCAUUUGAAACUUGUAGCAAUAGUAGUCUCUAACGGAGACGCAUAAUCGACUAUUUGUAUAUGAACCUAUAAAUGAGAGAUAACAAAAGGACAAUAUUGGGAAUCAGGAAAAGUAAGUACAAUGAGGAUAAACAACAUUAACACAUGUUAUUUUCGUUAUAUGAAUUACCUAGACUCUGUCGACCACUGCGACGGGACUGAAGCAUCUCAUUCAAGCUGACACCAUUCUUUGGGAUUUCAGGAUGCCAACCAAUCUCCCCUCUUGGGAAGAAUAAAGGGUAAGACAACGGAUCAUAACAUCCAUAAUAUGGUUGGAUGCUAUAUCUCUUGUUGUCGUUGCCGAACAAUACUAUGCUACGCUCAAAGUACUUACAGAGUUCACUACCCUCAACCCAAAUAGCUGCAACCUCCGAUGAUAUAGGCACAUUAUACCUCCGUUGGUACAACCUCAUGUCGGUGUUCAGUUCAAUACGGUAUUCCUCAAGGUCAUCGACUCCACCUAGAUUCCUGAACGUUUCAGAAUAAGGAUUAUCCUUCAGGAUGUCAACAAGCCUUCGAAUGACAUCUCGGUCUAGGUUCGGGGAGCGCCGAAACCUAUGUUGUAAACCGGGAUCGUCAUCAUAGAAGUAGAGUUCCAAAUGCUUUGGCCCAUCUUGAGUUGGACCAAAUGAGAAGAUGUUGUGGUAAAUCUGACCGUGAGCUCGAAACGUAUAGACUCCUGACUUCAUGUUUGUGUAUCUGUUGUCCAGACUGACUCCAAGGGUAGUGAAUGAAAAGUGUCCAUUGAAGUAUCAAAUGUUAUCCCUAAAAUGCACGGCAUUGGGAUCUGAACUUGUGUAUAGCAUUUUAAGUUCCAAGGGUGGUUCUAAGUGUGCCAACUUAACUUUUCCAGACUGGCAACAAAAUCCAUUUGUCUCAUACUGGAACCUCUUUGCACCAUAAUGCUUGCAAUCAGGUUUAGGUGCCAGCGUGUGAGUACUUACAGGUAUAUUCUCGUAGACACGAUCAUAUGGAUCAGGAACCGCUGUAAAUGCAUCCAUCAUGUCAUCACAGUCUUCAUCAUCGCCUACAUAUACAUGAGAUGAAUAGUGUUAUAUAGGUCUUGCAGUUUUUGUGCAAUACAUGUAGGGAAGUAAGGCAUCCAUGACAAUGGAAGUACUCAUCAUCUUCUUCUUCAAACUCAUUAUCGUCCGCAACAAAGCUUUCUGUUGGGGAACCUAGACAUAUGAAGCCAUUGGGAGCCAAUAAUGAAUUGUCCAUUCUAAGUUAUAAGGAUGGUUCUGAAUGUGUGUUAUAAUAUAAUCAGUAAUGAAAAGAAGGCAUCCACACCAUAAGCAUACCUGUGUUAGUGAAAACUCUGUGAUCCUCUUCCACCGCUUCAGGUAUGCUUUCAAGAUUACCUGUUAUUUCAAUGAUAGUGUAAAAUACCGGCUAAACCUUUGAAAAAAUUAUAAUAUAAUCAGUAAUGAAAAGAAGGCAUCCACACCAUAAGCAUACCUGUGUUAGUGAAAACUAUGUGAUCCUCUUCCACCGCUUCAGGUAUGCUUUCAAGAUUACCUGUUAUUUCAAUGAUAGUGUAAAAUACCGGCUCAACCUUUGAAAAAAUUGGUGAGAUAAACGAAUGUGUAUGUGAGAAUUACCUUGAACCGUAGCAGAAGUUUGCGCCAGCGUACUUGGGCAGCUAAAGACAUAAGAGCUUGAUGAUAGAUGUCCCACCAACGAACCUUUAGGGUACUGCAUUGCGACAGAAUCCUUAUAGAGGGUAUCUCGUUUAGCUGCGUAGCUUGCUUUACGCUGAGCUAGGAGUGCUUGCCGCUCUUCGGGUGGUAGGCUUUUCCUACGUGCUCGCUGGCGUGCAUUUCUUUCUUGCCUCUCAUCUAGCGUCAAACUUUGCCUACGUGCUCGCUGGCUUGCAUUCCUCUCAUCAAGUGUUAUGCGUUGUCUUUUCUUUCUUCUCUGUGCAUUAAUCCUUUCCUUCUCAUUUGGUGUUAAAUUUUGCCGACGUGCUCUCACACGUUCUCGCCUUGCUUGGAUUUGUUCAAGGGUACGGCUAGCAUAUCUUAGUGCUUCGCGUGCACGCUUUUACCCUAUAGUAUUUUACGAUGAAUUAAUUAAGUGGGUAAACAAAAUUACAUAAGCACACACUUUCGCCUUAUAGACUUACCUUUGGAACUUUCUCCUCGCUCCAAGUACUCAAUUGAUGUCAGCAUACCAUUAUUAGUAGGAAAAAUCACAGCUGAUUGGUUUGUCACUUCAUCAUCCGAAGAAGACGAGUAACUCAAAUGCGUCACACAUGUCGGCUCGCGUAUAAAUAGACCCGUCUGAGUCGGUGGCAUGCCAUUGGGCCCAGUUCUGUGGGACUUAUUAUUGUCAUCGACCACUGUGUUAUUUAAAGUUGAACCAAUAGUCAGAUUAUACAAAUAUAUGCAAAAAGAUUGUUCCGCCAAGCGAUAAGGGACAAGAUAGCAACCUUUUUGUUUUCCUUUAUUGCUUUGUUGGCACGAGGAUUGUAACAUUUGGGCGCAAGACCUGAUUAUUUCUCCCCAAAUCAGAAGAGUAUGAGGUUAGCCAAAUGAAUUAAAAGCUCAAAACACAAAAGCCAAUAGGAAUGUUAUAUGUAAUCUAACAAGAAUACUAUUCUUUGCCAAAAGACAACAUGAUAUUUUAUUUUAAGCCAACGACAUGUAUGAUAAAUUUAGAGCAAUUUAUAUUUAGAUCUGAAAUUGCACAUAUGAUAAAUUUCAUCAUCAUCAAGUAACAAUAUGAAUAAAACAAAUGAUAUGCACAUAUAUGGUAGCCAAAAACUACAAAUCAGAACAUAGUAGUAUACAGAAGUGAUCAAGUAUGAAUUUUUCACAACAUUUCCAUAGAACCUAUCACAAUAGUUUCCAAGCAUGUCUAAUAAUAGGCUUCACAACUUCCAGUCAACAGUGGGAGUAUGAAGCAUGAUGCACUCACACAUACUGAAUAUUCAGCCUAACUCACCCAGUAUGUCCUGACCUUGUGAUUAUUCAGUUUCACACCUAAAUCCAAGGGUUUCUCCUGGAGACUUCUAAUUUCUGAGCUUGAUGAGUAUCUUUUGGACCUGCCAUGUGGAUCGUCAUUUUAACAAUCAGUGAUUCGGUGAGAAAAAAAAUUCCAAUUGUAGUUGGAGCUGCCACUGAGUAUUUAUGUGCAUAUUUAGUACCAAUGCAUAUUUACUAUUUGGUUAACUUAAGCAACUAUACUUCAAGAUUUCAAUUGUAAGCAAUAUCGCAAUACAAGUAUAAUGUGGUACUACAAAAGUAUAACAUCAAUUGACAAGGAUGUGGCUAUCCUGGUCCAGGAAUCUAUGCCAAUAGAUGAAUAAAAAAUCAAACUGCUAUUAUAUUCGCUAAUUAUCAGUGCUAGCAUUUAUUGUGUAAAAAUCAUAUUAGAAUAGAAGUGGGCUAGCAUAGCAAUCUAAGCAUAGUAAACCAUUCCUCUAGUACUGGUGCUUGAUCUCCUAAUCAGAUCAGUCAUUUCUGUCAUUGCACAUCUACAAUUGCACAAGUAAGAAGAUCCACCCAUACCUUGGUCCUUCACGAAGUAGAACAGAAGACGAAGUCCUCACAAUCCGUUCAAUCUGAAGAAUGUCGUGACCAGCGUUUGGCUUCUUUGGGUGCAGCAGCGAGAGUCCCAUUUGCUUUAUAUUGGUCUUCAAUAGUAGUUUCUAGACAGCUCCACAUUGGCGCGCGGAUUUGAACUCAGAGUGCUAGAAAAUUUGAUAUAUAUAUAUAUAUAUAUAUAUAUAUAUAUAUAUAUAUAUAUAUAUAUAUAUAUAUAUAUAUAUAUAUAUAUAUAUAUGGGCCUGCAAGGAUGGUUUCUAGACAGUUCCGCCUGGGCGCGCGGGUUUGGCAGAAAAUUUGAAUUUGGGAGGCGGCAUGGGUGGACAGGGUGACAGUAGCCAAGAAUAGCGCGCCGGUGGGGAAGGGCAAGGAGUAGUAUGUGGCGGCGCCGCCGCCGCUGUGAAUGAGCAGCUCGUAGCCGGCGGCGUACNNNNNNNNNNNNNNNNNNNNNNNNNNNNNNNNNNNNNNNNNNNNNNNNNNNNNNNNNNNNNNNNNNNNNNNNNNNNNNNNNNNNNNNNNNNNNNNNNNNNNNNNNNNNNNNNNNNNNNNNNNNNNNNNNNNNNNNNNNNNNNNNNNNNNNNNNNNNNNNNNNNNNNNNNNNNNNNNNNNNNNNNNNNNNNNNNNNNNNNNNNNNNNNNNNNNNNNNNNNNNNNNNNNNNNNNNNNNNNNNNNNNNNNNNNNNNNNNNNNNNNNNNNNNNNNNNNNNNNNNNNNNNNNNNNNNNNNNNNNNNNNNNNNNNNNNNNNNNNNNNNNNNNNNNNNNNNNNNNNNNNNNNNNNNNNNNNNNNNNNNNNNNNNNNNNNNNNNNNNNNNNNNNNNNNNNNNNNNNNNNNNNNNNNNNNNNNNNNNNNNNNNNNNNNNNNNNNNNNNNNNNNNNNNNNNNNNNNNNNNNNNNNNNNNNNNNNNNNNNNNNNNNNNNNNNNNNNNNNNNNNNNNNNNNNNNNNNNNNNNNNNNNNNNNNNNNNNNNNNNNNNNNNNAGGAGACGGCAAGGAGGAUGGGGUCGUCGCGGCGGUGAGAGGUGGGGCUGGUAGAAGGCAUAAGGCGGGGAGAGGGGGUGGGGAGGGGGGCAGGGGUUGAACGGCACCGGCAGCUGCCACAUCGCCGGAUCGAUUCCAGCGCUGCCGGCGGCGGUUCGUACGGUGCCUCCCGUUCUGGAGAGGAGAUGGAUAAGGUCGAUAGUUGUUUUUUUUUACCUGGUGGGGGUGGGGCAGAGACUCGAACAGGAAAGAUGGACUGAGGGGGCUUAUCUGCAAAUGUGUGAUGCAGCGGGUGUUUUUUUGCAAAAUGUACCACAGAUUGGUUACAGUGCGUUGGAUGCAGAUCCGAUGGUUGAAAUUAAAGCAAGGCAGGCACACCAUCAUCACCAACUCGUAUUUUUAUAGGAGUAGAGAUGAGCAUAAGGAAACUGUAUGUUGGCUGAAAUCUAAUUUACGUCAAAGAUGUAACAAAUUGUUGAAUUACCAUUUUGUAGGCAUCCACACAAUCUUUGCACGCUCGACUUAAUCAUCUACUGCCUCAAAUCUUGGAUGAUGUGAUGCGACAAAAGAUAUGCAUGAAAAACAAUCAAAUAUGUGCACACUUUGCAGAUCAGGUAAUUCCUUAUCGAGAUGGAAGUUACCAUACCUUUUAUUUUCAUAUUUUUAGUUUGAAUAGAUAAUCGUCUGAAGAGCAAAGACAUUGUGUGCACCCUUAUAUUUGUAACAAUUGUCUUGCAUGAGACUCCAGCUACCAAGGUCCCUCCGGGGGCUUAACUGGGUGGAGCAAAAGCGGGAUGAGGAAACAUUAUUUGCUUGUAUGGAAAAGUUUAUGGAUAUUACCAUGGUAUAGUUACCUGCAUUCACUAGCCAGAUCACUUAGAAGUAGAACUGUUCCUUGAAACAGACUUGGCUCAUAAAGUUGACUUGACUACAGGCUACUACUCAGGCGAUUGAAAGCAUCAAUGAUAUGAUCGGAAGAGUUACACAGGAUCUUGAUGUAAUGUUUUUUCCCUUUCCGCUCUAGCUUGCUAGUUUUGGUUACCUGUAUCAAUUCUAGUUUCCUCUACCAUAUUUAAAUAAGCAAAUUAGCAUAUCUUGAAAUGUAAGGGUACUGAUUGUAUUAACUCCAUAUAUGAAUGAUUUCCACUAUGCUACAAUUAUGUGCAUUUACAUAUUUGAAUCUAUGCAUAUCUGUGUACCUAUUUUUUUUGCUAACAGUGGUGUUUUAUUUGAUUAGUUGCCUAGUUACUGGGUUAACAGUGCUUUCUUUUCUAAUGGGUAUUCUAGGUUUUCCCUGACAAGUACUGUAUUUGACUUGCUUAUGUUUCAGAAGCGUACUUCAACUUCGAAAGCUGGCAGUGCUUCACAGAAUCACAGUGACGACGGUGAUACGGACUUGGGACUUUAGAGCUUAUCGUGACAUUCUUCUUGGCUUGCUCAGGCUGAGCCUGUUGUUCGACUCUUGCGUCUUCUUUUAGUCUCGAAUGAUUGGCUAGCGUUUCCGGUAAACCGGCGGUUUGUACAUCAGCACCUAUCUGGUGUUAUGUUUGAGCAUCCGAACCAACUAUUGCCGCUAUGAAUAUCUAUUUAAGUUUUAGAGAACAUUUUGCGGUGCAAAUCCUUGUGUGUAGAUUAUAUAUAAGCUUGUCCAUGGUAGGAAGCACACAUUUCAAGCAGCUUCUGGUUACAAAAAAGAGCAAGUUCAGAGCUUCUUAAUCCUGAACUGACAAACUGUCACUUGGCAUUCAGGUACCAAAUUUCAACAGCAACAGCAACAAAAAUGCUUCCUUGCUCCCUCGUUAUCUUAAUGCAUGCACAAAGUUGGAUGUGUAGGCGGGGCGGCCGCGCUGGCCCCUCGCUCCAUCAGGUUGCAGCAGCAGGAUCCUGCGCUGGCGUCCUUGUGUUCUGAAUCUGCGAUUACAGUUCUGCAAUUGCCUUGGUCAUGGGUCCAGUCUCCAGUGGGUAGGUAACAAGAAAUCAUAUGUAUCUUCAGAACAUGGCCAUGCCUGAAACAUGGAUUAUCGUGUAAUUCUUGGUGGAAUCUUAAGCAACCGGGCACUGUAACAUAUUCAAAACUAUUUUGCGAAGAAUGCCUUGUUCGUUCAGUCAUGGAGUGGAUUUUGUAGGUUUUACCCCUGGCAUCAAUCAAUAAAGAAAAUGGCAAGCUCUGCGGCCUUGUCUUCUCGUCCAGAAAGUUAAACAUAGUCGAGUGGAUAAUUUUCCUUCUUUAAGAUGUACAAAGUCUUGUGUGUAAUCAAGGUGCCGAAGAAAAGUUAUGCACAGCAAAAAAACAAAAGGGGGACAUUUCGGAGUACAUGCUCUACCACCACGCGUUGCCUUGAGCCCUUGACAUACGGAAGUGCAUAGGCUAAGAGAUCUACAGCCGGACUUGACAAAUCCGGUCUUUUAUACGCCUGCCGCACAUUCACACACCUCAAAUAUGAAUCCUUAAAUCCAUGUAAUCCAUGCACAUCGAUCAUACGAUACAAAUCAUCUGAAUUCAAUAGUUCAAAACAAAUACAACAAAGCAAAUAGUUAAGCAAUCCAGACAUGUCAGAAUGAAAUCAAUGUCCAAGCAUGACGGAUCAUUCGCUGGCUGGCCGGAUCACUUGCCAGACGCCAUCCAUGCAGCCUGCUCCUCCGCCAUCCUUGCCCCCCGAUCCGCAUGCUCCUCCUGCAUCCUUGCCUCAUGCUCCGCCUACAUCUUUGUCGCAUGCUCCGUUGCUGCUAUAGCCGCCCUCGCCGUCUCGUAGUCCCUACGCUCCUUGUUCUCUUUUUUCUUCCCCGCAAGCCACUUCUUCGCAUACUCAUCCAAGAGACUUUUGUCGCCAAUAUGAUCUUCAAAUCUGAUGUCGUGUGCGAUUUGCAACCUCUCCUUCUCAUGCUCUAUCUCUCAAAAUUUCUUGGCCUUCUCGAGCUCUCGUUUGAUUGCCGCCUCUUACUUCUCCAACUCAAUCUUCUCCAUCUUAAUUUCUAGCUUCUUCUCUGCCCUAUUUCAGUCCCAAUCCAACAUCUCCUUUUGCAUAUCCAACAUGAGCUUGUACCUAUCCUCUUCUUGUUCUCCCUCACCGAAAAAAUGCCCGUCCAUGUAGAGGACAAUUUUGUAGCCGCGGCAUCACGGGAGGCCCUUGCCUUCUCCCACUUGUUUCCCAUGACUUGCCGGUUAUCCUUUUGCACGAUGUCUCUUCCAUUCUCCACGACAACAUCUUUCUCUUCUUCAUCCAAUCCAAUUGAUUGGUGGGAAUUUGAGCCAUCAUUCCUCUUUUUGUCGACCUUGAGAUCGGCCAGAAGUUGUGUCCCCUUUGAUUUUUCAUUCAGUAUGAUUCAACAAUGGCUAAACGCAAAUGGCCGCUUCUCCAUUUCGUGAUACAUAGCGGUCGCCACUGCCAUCUAGCAAACAAAAUAUGUAUGAGCAUGAGAAUGCAAAAAAGCAAGCAUAGCAAAUGAUGACAAGAUGAAGUAGUGAUACGUCUCCAAUGUAUCUACUUUUCCUAACGCUUUUCCUCUUGUUUUGAACUCUAAUUUGCAUGAUUUGAAUGAAACUAACCCCAGACUGAUGCUGUUUUCAGCACAACUACCAUGGUGUUGUUGUUGUGCAGAAAUAAAAGUUCUCGGAAUGGAACGAAACUUUGCGAGGAUUUUUUAUAUUAAUAAAGAGAAUUUCUGGAACCAAGAUCCACCGGAGGGGGCACAUGGGUGGGAACAACCCACCAGGAGCCCCCUCCUGGCGCGCCCAGGUUGGUUGUCCCCACCUGGUGGCCCCGCAGACCCUGAAACCGAUGCUAUAAAAUCCUAUUUUUCUCGAAAAAAUCAGGGAGAAAGAAUUAUCGUGAUCCACGAGACAGAGCUGCCGUCACCUCCUGUUCUUCAUUGGGAGUCCAGAUCUGGAGUCCGUUUGGGGCUCCGGAGAGGGGGGUCUUCGUUCUUCGUCAUCACCAACCCUUCUCCAUCGCCAAUUCCAUAAUGCUCCCCACCGGGAGUGAGUAAUUCCUUUGUAGGCUCGCUGGUCGGUGAGGAGUUGGAUAAGAUUCAUCAUGUAAUCUAGUUAGUUUUGUUAGGGCUUGAUCCCUAGUAUUGAUGACCCACAAGUAUAGGGGAUCUAUCGUGGUCGUUUUGAUAAGUCAGAGUGUCGAACCCAACGAGGAGCAGAAGGAAAUGAUAAGCAGUUUUCAGUAAGGUAUUCUCUGCAAGCACUGAAAUUAUCGGUAACAGAUAGUUUUGUGAUAAGGUAAUUUGUAACGGGUAACAAGUAAUGAAAGUAAAUAAGGUGCAACAAGAUGGCCCAAUCCUUUUUGUAGUAAAGGACAAGCCUGAACAAACUCCUAUAUAAAGGAAAACGCUCCCGAGGACACAUGGGAAUUAUCGUCAAGCUAGUUUUCAUCACGUUCAUAUGGUUCGCGUUCGGUACUUUGGUAAUUUGAUAUGUGGGUAGACCGGUGCUUGGGUACUGUCCUUCCUUGGACAAGCAUCCCACUUAUGAUUAACCCCUAUUGCAAGCAUCCGCAACUACAAAAGAAGUAUUAAGGUAAACCUAACCAUAGUAUGAAACAUAUGGAUCCAAAUCAACCCCUUACGAAGCAACUCAUAAACUAGGGUUUAAGCUUCUAUCACUCUAGCAACCCAUCAUCUACUUAUUACUUCCCAAUGCCUUCCUCUAGGCCCAAAUAAUGGUGAAGUGUCAUGUAGUCAACGUUCACAUGACACCACUAGAGGAAAGACAACAUACAUCUCAUCAAAAUAUCGAACGAAUACCAAAUUCACAUGACUACUUAUAGCAAGACUUCUCCCAUGUCCCCAGGAACAAAUGUAACUACUCACAAAUCAUAUUCAUGUUCAUAAUCAGAGGGGUAUUAAUAUGCAUAAAGGAUCUGAACAUAUGAUCUUCCACCGAAUAAACCAACUAGCAUCAACUACAAGGAGUAACCAACACUACUAGCAACCCACAGGUACCAAUUUGAGGCUUUGGGACAAAGAUUGGAUACAAGAGAUGAACUAGGGUUUGAGAUGAGAUGGUGCUGGUGAAGAUGUUGAUGGAGAUUGACCCCCUCCCGAUGAGAGGAUCGAUGAUGAUGACGGUGGUGAUGAUUUCCCCCUCCCGGAGGGAAGUUUCCCCGGCAGAACAGCUCCGCCGGAGCCCUAGAUUGGUUCUGCCAAGGUUCCGCCUCGUGGCGGUGGAGUUUCGUCCCGUGAGUUAGCUUAUGAUUUUUUCCUCGAUGAAAGACUCCAUAUAGCCAAAGAUGGGCAUCAGAUGGCUGCCAAGGGGCCCACGAGGCAGGGGGCGCGCCCCCACCCUCAUGGACGGUGUGUGUCCCCCCUCUGGUACUUCUUUCGCCCAAUAUUUUUUAUAUAUUCUGAAACGUGCUCUCGUGAAGUUUCAGGACUUUUGGAGAUGUGAAGAAUAGAUCUCUAAUAUUUGCUCCUUUUCCAGCCCAGAAUUCCAGCUGCCGGCAUUCCCCCUCUUCAUGUAAAACCUUGUAAAAUAAGAGAGAAUAGGCAUAAGUAUUGUGACAUAAUUUGUAAUAACAGCCCAUAAUGCAAUAAAUAUCGAUAUAAAAGCAUGAUGCAAAAUGGACGUAUCAACUCCCCCAAGCUUAGACCUCGCUUGUCCUCAAGCGAAAGCCGAAAUCGAAAAAUAUGUCCACAUGUUUAGAGAUAGAGGUGUCGAUAAAAUACAAUACGGACAUGAGGGCAUCAUGAUCAUUCUUAGAACAACAACGCAUACAUAUAUUGGCAUAUGAUCUCUUAUGCUAAAGUAACAAUUCAAUCACAAUUUCAAGUAUGAAUCAGAAACUUCAUUGAGAACCAAUAACCUAUAAUCUCAAUCAUUGAAGCAAUUGCAAUUUAUCAUAACAUAUGAAAGAGUCAAUAUAAGAGCUUUUCAGCAAGUCCACAUACUCAACCAUUAUUUAGUCGUUCACAAUUGCUAACACUCACGCAAUAUUUAUGGGUAUGAAGUUUUAUUCGGACACAGAGAAAGAUAGGGGCUUAUAGUUUUGCCUCCCGACCUUUUACCUCAAGGGUAAUGUCAACAAUAAUAGUUCAUGAAAACUCACAUCCAAUUAGCUAUAUAUAUCUAUAUCUUUCCAACACAUUGUGCUUGCCAAAGGAUAAAAUGUAAAAAGGAAAGGUGAAGAUCACCAUGACUCUUGUAUGAAGUAUAAGACAAGAAUAAAAGGUAGGCCCUUCGCAGAGGGAAGCAGAGGUUGUCAUGUGCUUUUAUGGUUGGAUGCACAAAAUCUUAAUGCGAAAGAACGUCACUUUAUAUUGCCACUUGUGAUAUGGACCUUUAUUAUGCAAUCUGUCGCUUUUAUUCCUUCCACAUCACAAGAUCGUAUAAAGCUUAUUUUCUCCACACUAAUAAGUCAUACAUAUUUAGAGAGCAAUUUUUAUUGCUUGCAACCAUGACAACAUACUUGAAGGAUCUUCAUAACCCACAAGUAUAGGGGAUCGCAACAGUUUUCGAGGGUAAAGUAUUCAACCCAAAUUUAUUGAUUUGACACAAGGGGAGCCAAAGAAUACUCUCAAGUAUUAGCAGCUGAGUUGUCAAUUCAACCACACCUGGAAACUUAAUAUCUGCAGCAAAGUAUUUAGUAGCAAAGUAAUAUGAUAGUAGUGGUAGCGGUAGCAAAAGGUAACAGUAGUAAAAGUGAUGUUUUUGGUAUUUUGUAGUGAUGAUAGCAAUAGCAACGGGAAAGUAAAUAAGCGAAGAACAAUAUAUGGAAAGCCGUAGGCAAUGGAUCAGUGAUGGAGAAUUAUGCCGGAUGCGGUUCAUCAUGUAACAGUCAUAACCUAGGGUGACACAGAACUAGCUCCAGUUCAUCAAUGUAAUGUAGGCAUGUAUUCCGAAUAUAGUCAUACGUGCUUAUGGAAAAGAACUUGCAUGGAAUCUUUUGUCCUACCCUCCCGUGGCAGCGGGGUCCUUACGGAAACUAAGGGAUAUUAAGGCCUCCUUUUAAUAGAGUACCGGAACAAAGCAUUAACACAUAGUGAAUACAUGAACUCCUCAAACUAUGGUCAUCACCGGUAAGUAUCCCGAUUAUUGUCACUUCGGGGUUAAUGGAUCAUAACACAUAAUAGGUGACUAUAGACUUGCAAGAUAGGAUCAAGAACACUCAUAUAUUGAUGAAAACAUAAUAGGUUCAGAUCCGAAAUCAUGGCACUCGGGCCCUAGUGACAAGCAUUAAGCAUAGCAAAGUCAUAGCAACAUCAAUCUCAGAACAUAGUGGAUACUAGGGAUCAAACCCUAACAAAACUAACUCGAUUACAUGAUAGAUCUCAUCCAACCCAUCACCGUCCAGCAAGCCUACGAUGGAAUUACUCACGCACGGCGGUGAGCAUCAUGAAAUUGGUGAUGGAGGAUGGUUGAUGAUGACGAUGGCGGCGGAUUCCCCUCCCCGGAGCCCCGAAUGUACUCCGGAUCAGCCCUCCCGAGAGGUUUUAGGGCUUGGCGGCGGCUUUGUAUCGUAAAACGCGAUGAAUUCUUCUCUCUGAUUUUUUUCUCCCCGAAACACAAUAUAUAGAGUUGGAGUUGGAGUCGGAGGAGCUCCAGGGGGCCCACGAGGUAGGGGGCGCGCCCCCACCCACGUGGACAGGUGUUGGGCCCCCUGGCCUUCAUCUUUUGCAGGUAUUUUCUAUAUUUUCCAAAAGUUGCUCCAUGAAGUUUCAGGUCAUUCCGAGAAUGUUUGUUUCUGCACAUAAAUAACACCAUGGUAAUUCUGCUAAAAAUAGCGUCAGUCCGGGUUAGUUCCAUUCAAAUCAUGCAAGUUAGAGUCCAAAAUAAGGGCAUGAGUGUUUGGAAAAGUAGAUACGACGGAGACGUAUCAACUCCCCCAAGCUUGAACCUUUGCUUGUCCUCAAGAAAUUCAGUUGACAAACUGAAAGUGAUAAAGAAAAACUUUUACAAACUCUGUUUGCUCUUGUUGUUGUAAAUAUGUAAAGCCAGCAUUCAAGUUUUCAGCAAAGAUUAUGACUAACCACAUUCACAAUAACGCUUAGGUCUCAAGUUUACUCAUAUCAAUGGCAUAAUCAACUAGCGAGCAAUAAUAAUAAAUCUCGGAUGACAACACUUUCUCAAAACAAUCAUAAUAUGAUAUAACAAGAUGGUAUCUCGCUAGCCCUUUGUGAGACCGCAAAACAUAAAUGUAGAGCGCCUUUAAAGAUCAAGGACUGACUAGACAUUGUAAUUCAUGGUAAAAGAGAUCCAGUCAAGUCAUAGUCAAUGUAAACUAAUAAUAAUGAAUGAAAAUGACAGCGGUGCUCUCCAACUGGUGCUUUUUAAUAAGAGGAUGAUGACUCAGCAUAAAAGUAAAUAGACAGGCCCUUCAUAGAGGGAAGCCGGGAUUUGUAGAGGUGCCAGAGCUCGGUUUUGAAACAGAGGUGAAUAAUAUUUUGAGUGGUAUACUUUCAUUGUCAACAUAACAACCAAGAGAUGGCAAUAUCUUCCAUGCUACACACAUUAUAGGCGGUUCCCAAACAGAAUGGUAAAGUUUAUACUCCCCCUUCCACCAACAAGCAUCAAUCCAUGGCUUGCUCGAAACAACAAGUGCCUCCAACUAACAAGAGUCCCAGGGGGAGUUUUGUUUGCAAUUAUUUUGAUUUAGUUUGCAUAAAGCAUGGGACUGGGCAUCCCGGUGACCAGCCAUUUAUCUCGUGAGUGAGGAGCGGAGUCCACUCCUCUUGAGAAUAACCCGCCUAACAUGGAAGAUAUGGACAGCCCUAGUUGAUACAUGAGCUAUUCGAGCAUACAAAACAGGAUAUUUAUUUGAAGGUUUAGAGUUUGGCACAUACAAAUUUACUUGGAACGGCAGGUAAAUAUCAUAUAUAGGUAGGUAUAGUGGACUCAUGUGGAAUAACUUUGGGGUUUAAGAGAUUGGAUGCACAAGCAGUAUUCCUGCUUAGUACAGGUGAAGGCUAGCAAAAGACUGGGAAGCGACCAGCUAGAGAGCGACAACAGUCAUGAACAUGCAUUAAAAUUAAUCAACACCGAAUGCAAGCAUGAGUAGGAUAUAAUCCACCAUGAACAUAAAUAUCGUGAAGGCUAUGUUGAUUUUGUUUCAACUACAUGCGUGAAAAUGUGCCAAGUCAAGUCACUUAAAUCAUUCAGAGGAGGAUACCACCCUAUCAUACCACAUCAUAACCAUUUCAAUAGCAUGUUAGCACGCAAGGUAAACCAUUAUAACUCAUAGCUAAUCAAGCGUGGCACAAGAACUAUGAUCUCUAGUUGUCAUUGCAAACAUGUUUAUUCAUAAUAGGCCGAAUCAGGAUCGAUGAACUAAUCAUAUUUACAAAAACAAAAGAGGUCGAGUUCAUACCAGCCUUUCUCAUCUCAGUCGGUCCAUCAUAUAUCGUCAUAAUUGCCUUUCACUUGCACGACCGAAUGAUGUGAAUAAUAAUAAUAGUGCACGUGCAUUGGACUAAGCUGGAAUCUGCAAGCAUUCAAUAAACAGGAGAAGACAAGGCAAUAUGGGCUCUUUGUCAGAUCAACAAUAAUGCAUAUAAGAGGCACUUCAACAAUUUAAUCAUGGUCUUCUCCUAUCGACCCCCAAAGAAAAGAAAAGAAAUAAAACUAUUUACACGAGAGAGCUCCCAACAAGUAAAAGAAGAUCAGGAAAUCUUUUUGGGUUUUCUUUUUAAUUACUACUAUAGGCAUGGAAAGUAAACUAAUUAAAAGCUACAUCUAUUUUUUGUUUUUCUUAAGGUUUAUUAAACACACAAGAAGAAAGCAUAAAAAGGAAAUUAAACUAGCAUGGAUGAUACAAUGAAAAAGUAUGAGCACUGACAUCUAGCAAUAAGUGUGUGAACAUAAAUGUAAUGUCGGUGAGAAAUACGUACUCCCCCAAGCUUAGGCUUUUGGCCUAAGUUGGUCUAUGGCCAUGGCUGGCCUGACGAAUAUCCAUAAUAAUAGUUGGGGUCGUACUGCGAUGAAGAAGAAGAUUCCGAUUGCCACUGGCUGGCAAUCAUCUCCGGAUCCCACUGGUAAUUAGACUGUCAUGAAGGAUCAACUUGUGGUUCCGGCUUUGGCUCCAUGGCUGGUGUAGGGUUCUGGUAGGCAUGAAUAGCCUCUAACAGAACAAGGUACUGGCCUGCAGAUAAAUCAAACAAAGAAGGAGCAGGCAAGGUAAUAGUCUCAUGAUGAUGUUUAUCAAAGAAUAGUUUGUAUUUAAGCUCUCUUUCCCUGUUCUUAACAAUAAAAUCAUGUGCCACCAUACUUUUAUAAUCUAAAUAAAUACGAGGCAACACUUUUUCUUCCUUCUCAUAAUGCCUAAUAGGUAUGUUAAAAUGUGCAGCUAGGCGUGAAGCAUAGAUGCCUCCAAAGAUGGGGCCCUUGGUACGGUUCAGACUUAACCGUUUAGCGAUAAUGCCGCCCAUACUAACAGAGUUAUCACCAUAUAAAUCAUGGAGCAAAAUAAUAAUAUCAGGGACACUAAGGUUUCCACAGUUUCCUCGACCAAUUAAACAACGACUAGCAAAUAGUGCAAAAUAGCGUAAAACAGGAAAAUGUAUGCUAGUGAUUCGUGCAUCGGAAACCUUCCUUGUUUCCCCUACAGUGAUAGUAUCAAUAAACCCAUCCACGCAGACUAAGGCAUAGCCUAGUGGUGGGAAGGGGCUGAUGCCUUCCCACCCACCCAGGUUCAAGGCUUGGUAUUUGCAAUUUGGGUUUGUUGCACCAAUUAUGCUGUAGGGGGUUCCCUUACAGUCUUUCUAUCAAAAAAAACCCAUCCACAUCCUCGCGAUGUGGUUCCUCUAUCUUGCCCUCAAAAGGGACUAAACAAACCCGACAAAAAAUCAUAAAGUGACAUCUCCUUAUGCUCAUCAUAUAAAUGAAACUCCACCGUAGGUGGUGAGCUCCUAGAAUGCAAAUGAAAAUUUUGCACAAAGGUAUUUGUGAGUAAGAGAUACUGAACGCGUUGGUCGUGGAGGAAAGCGGUGAGGCCGACAUUCUUAGCCAAUUCAUAAAAAUCUUCAUAAAUCCCGACUGCUCUCAAGAAAUCAAGGCCAUUCACACGACCGAACCUCCGCGGUGCGAGGCAGAUUAUAUUUAGGCUUCGGUGCCUUUUCCUUUGAGCUUCGGCUCGAUGAGCCCCUCAAAAGUCUCUUCAUCAUUUUCUGAAAAAUUCUGAAAUUUUUUAGUGACUUCAAAAUAAAAGUAAACAAAACUCAAUAAUAUUGAUAGCAACUACUCCUACAAGUGCCUAGGGCCUAUAUCAUGCAUCAAAACUACUUUUGACCAUAUAAAUUUGACAUGCAAGCUCAAGAAUAGGGUCACCUAAGCAGAAAAAAUUUGCAAUGAAUAAAGUACUAGAACAAAAACUAAUUGGACCAAUGGAGGAGUCACAUACCAAGGAACAAUCUCCCCAAGCAGUUUUGUGAGAGGUGCUUUGAGCAAGGAGAUAAAAAAUGGCAGCAAAACGAGCUUGGACUCGGGUUUGAGCUGGUUAUUUGUGUUUGGGGGAGGAAUAAUGAGUGUGUGGGUGAAAGGAUAAGUGGAGGAGGGCCACCGUGGGCCCACGAGGCAGGGGGGCGCGCCCUCCACCCUCGUGGGCAGGUGGUUGACCCCCCUGCUGUGUUCUCAGUGCCAAAUAUUCUCAAAUAUUCUAGAAAAAAAUCAUAUUUAAAUUUCAGGGCAUUUGGAGAACUUUUAUUUUCGAGGUAUUUUUAUAUUGCAUGGAUAAUCAGAUAACAGACAGAAAAAUACUAUUUUUAUUUUAUUUAAUAUAAAUAACAGAAAGUAAAAGGAGGGUACAACAGGUUGUGCCUUCUAGUUUCAUCCAUCUCAUGAUCAUCAAAAGGAAUCCACUAACAAGGUUGAUCAAGUCUUGUUAACGAAGUCAUUCCGAAUAACAUGGAACCAGAGAAAUUUUGAAUAACACUAUGUUACCUUAACGGGGAUAUGCACAUCCCAAAUAACAAGAAUAUCAUAUUUCUUCUUGACAGUAGGAAGAGGAAAUUCAAAACCUCCAAAUAUAAUCGAUGGAAUUUUUCCAAUAGAGUUGAUACUACGAACUUGAGGUUGUUUCCUCGGAAAGUGUAUCGUAUGCUCAUUACCAUUAACAUGAAAAGUGAAAUUGCCUUUAGUGCAAUCAAUAACAGCCCCUGCAGUAUUCAAAAAGAGUCUUCCAAGAAUAAUAGACAUACUAUCGUCCUCGGGAAUAUCAAGAAUAACAAAAUCCAUUAAAAUAGUAACGUUUGCAACUACAACAGGCACAUCCUCACAAAUACCGACAUGUAUAGCAGUUGAUUUAUCAGCCAUUUGCAAAGAUAUUUCAGUAGGUGUCAACUUAUUCAAAUCAAGUCUACGAUAUAAAGAGAGAGGCAUAACACUAACACCGGCUCCAAGAUCACAUAAAGCAGUUUUAACAUAGUUUCUUUUAAUGGAGCAUGGUAUAGUGGGUACUCCUGGAUCUCCAAGUUUCUUUGGUAUUCCACCCUUAAAAGUAUAAUUAGCAAGCAUGGUGGAAAUUUCAGCUUCUGAUAUCUUUCUUUUAUUUGUAACAAUAUCUUUCAUAUACUUAACAUAAGGAUUCAUUUUGAGCAUAUUAGUUAAUCGCAUACACAAAAAGAUAGGUCUAAUCAUUUCAGCAAAGCGCUCAAAAUCCUCAUCAUCCUUUUUCUUGGAUGGUUUGGGAGGAAAAGGCAUGGGUUUCUGAACCCAUGGUUCUCUUUCUUUACCGUGUUUCCUAGCAACAAAGUCUUUCUUAUCAUAACGUUGAUUCUUUGAUUGUGGGUUAUCAAGAUCAACAGCAGGUUCAAUUGCUAUAUCAUUAUCAUUACUAGGUUGAGCAUCAUCAUGAACAUUAUUAUUAAUAUUAUCGCUAGUUUCAGGUUCAUUACCAGAUUGAGUUUUAGCAUCAGAAAUAGAAAUAUCAUUUGGAUUCUCAGGUGGUUCAAUAACAGGUUCACUAGAAGCAUGCAAAGUCCUAUCAUUUUUCUUUUUCUUCUUUUUAGAAGGACUAGGUGCAUCUAUAUUAUUUCUCUGAGAAUCUUGCUCAAUUCUCUUAGGGUGGCCUUCAGGAUACAAAGGUUCAUGGGUCAUUUUACCAGUUCUAGUAGCCACUCUAACAGCAUUAUCAUUAUUCUUACUAUUCAAUUCAUUGAGCAAAUCAUUUUGAGCUUUAAGUACUUGUUCUACUUGAGUGGUAACCAUAGAAGCAUGUUUACUAAUAAGUUUAAGUUCACCUUUGACAUUAGCCAUAUAAUCACCCAAGUGUUCAAGCAUAUUUGAAUUGUAUUUCAAUUGUCUACCAAAAUAAGCAUUAAAGUCUUCUUGCUUAGCCAUAAAUUUAUCGAACUCAUCUAAGCAUGGGCUAGCAAACUUAGUAAAUAGGAUUUCAGCUUUAUCAUAUCUAUAGAGAGAAUUUACCUUUACUACCUGUGUCGGGUUAUCAAGACCAUGAGUUUCUUCAAUAGGUAAGGGAUUAAGAUCAUAUGUUUCUUCAACAGGCGGUAAAUUAAGACCAUGUAUUUCUUCAAUAUGAGGUAAAUUCUUAACAUCUUCAGCUUUAAUACCUUUUUCUUUCAUAGAUUUCUUUGCCUCUUGCAUAUCUUUAGGACUGAGAAAUAGAAUACCCCUCUUCUUUGGAUUUGGUUUAGGAACAGGCUCAAGAAUUGGCUCCGGAGGUGUCCAAUUAUUUUCAUUUGUCAACAUAUUAUUCAAUAGAAUUUUAGCUUCAUCCGGUGUUCUUUCCCUGAAAACAGAACCAACACAACUAUCCAGGUAAUCUCUGGAGGCAUCGGUUAGUCCAUUAUAAAAGAUAUCAAGUAUUUCAUUUUUCUUAAGAGGGUGAUCAGGCAAAGCAUUAAGUAAUUGGAGAAGCCUCCCCCAAGCUUGUGGGAGACUCUCUUCUUCAAUUUGCACAAAAUUAUAUAUAUCCCUUAAAGCAGCUUGUUUCUUAUGAGCAAGGAAAUGUUUAGCAGAGAAGUAAUAAAUCAUAUCCUGGGGACUACGCACACAACCAGCAUCAAGAGAAUUAAACCAUAUCUUAGCAUCACUCUUUAAUGAAAACGAGAAUAUUUUAAGGAUAUAAAAGUAAUGAGUUCUCUCAUCAGUAGUGAACCGGGUGGCUAUAUCAUUCAAUUUAGUAAGAUGUGCCACAACAGUUUCAGAUUCAUAGCCAUGAAAAUGAUCAGAUUCAACCAAAGUAAUUAUAUCAGGAUCAACAGAGAAUUCAUAAUCAUUAUCGAUAACACAGAUAGGUGAAGUAGCAAAAGCAGGGUCAGGUUUCAUCCUAGCAUUUAGAGAUUGCUUAUUCCAUUUAGCUAAUAACCUCUUAAGUUCGUGUCUAUCCUUGCAAGCUAAAAUAGCUAAAGAAGCUUCUUUAUCAGAAACAUAACCCUCAGGAAUAACAGGCAAGUCUUCAUCAUCAAUUUCAUCAGUAUUAUCAGAUUCAACAUUUUCAAUCUCUCUAGCCCUAGCAAGUUGUUCAUCAAGAAAUUCACCAAGUGGCACGGUAAUAUCAAGCAUAGAAGUAGUUUCAACAUAAGUAUCAUGUAUAGCAGAAGUGACAUCAUCAAUAACAUGCGACAUAUUAGAACGAAUAGCAGAAGCAGGUUUAGGUGUCGCAAGCUUACUUAAAAUAGAAGGUGAAUCAAGUGCAGAGCUAGAUGGCAGUUCCUUACCUCCCCUCGUAGUUGAGGGAUAAAUCUUGGUUCUUAGAUCUUUCAAAUUCUUCAUAAUGAUAAGCUGAUAUAAAUCCCAAGUGACUCAAGGAAUAGAGCUAUGCUCCCCUACAAUGGCGCCAGAAAAUAGUCUUGAUAAUCCACAAGUAUAGGGGAUCGCAACAGUUUUCGAGGGUAAAGUAUUCAACCCAAAUUUAUUGAUUCGACACAAGGGGAGCCAAAGAGUACUCUCAAGUAUUAGCAGCUGAGUUGUCAAUUCAACCACACCUGGAAACUUAAUAUCUGCAGCAAAGUAUUUAGUAGCAAAGUAAUAUGAUAGUAGUGAUAGCGGUAGCAAAAGGUAACAGUAGUAAAAGUGAUGUUUUUGGUAUUUUGUAGUGAUGAUAGCAAUAGCAACGAGAAAGUAAAUAAGCGAAGAACAAUAUAUGGAAAGCUCGUAGGCAAUGGAUCAGUGAUGGAGAAUUAUGCCGGAUGCGGUUCAUCAUGUAACAGUCAUAACCUAGGGUGACACAGAACUAGCUCCAGUUCAUCAAUGUAAUGUAGGCAUGUAUUCCGAAUAUAGUCAUACGUGCUUAUGGAAAAGAACUUGCAUGACAUCUUUUGCCCGUGGCAGCGGGGUCCUUACGUAAACUAAGGGAUAUUAAGGCCUCCUUUUAAUAGAGUACCGGAACAAAGCAUUAACACAUAGUGAAUACAUGAACUCCUCAAACUACGGUCAUCACCGGUAAGUAUCCCGAUUAUUGUCACUUCGGGGUUAACGGAUCAUAACACAUAAUAGGUGACUAUAGACUUGCAAGAUAGGAUCAAGAACACUCAUAUAUUGAUGAAAACAUAAUAGGUUCAUAUCUAAAAUCAUGGCACUCGAGCCCUAGUGACAAGCAUUAAGCAUAGCAAAGUCAUAGCAACAUCAAUCUCAGAACAUAGUGGAUACUAGGGAUCAAACCCUAACAAAACUAACUCGAUUACAUGAUAGAUCUCAUCCAACCCAUCACCGUCCAGCAAGCCUACGAUGGAAUUACUCACGCACGGCGGUGAGCAUCAUGAAAUUGGUGAUGGAGGAUGGUUGAUGAUGACGAUGGCGACGGAUUCCCCUCUCCGAAGCCCCGAACGGACUCCAGAUCAGCCCUCCCGAGAGGUUUUAGGGCUUGGCGGCGGCUUUGUAUCGUAAAACGCGAUGAAUUCUUCUCUCUGAUUUUUUUCUCCCCGAAACACAAUAUAUAGAGUUGGAUUUGGAGUUGGAGGAGCUCCAGGGGGCCCAUGAGGUAGGGGGCGCGCCCCCACCCUCGUGGACAGGUGGUGGGCCCCUGGCCUUCAUCUUUUGCAGGUAUUUUUUAUAUUUUCCAAAAAGUUGCUCCGUGAAGUUUCAGGUCAUUCCGAGAACGUUUGUUUCUGCACAUAAAUAACACCAUGGUAAUUCUGCUGAAAACAGCGUCAGUCCGGGUUAGUUCCAUUCAAAUCAUGCAAGUUAGAGUCCAAAAUAAGGGCAAAAGUGUUUGGAAAAGUAGAUACGACGAAGACGUAUCAGAUCUUACUCAAUCCAUUGGUAGAUAUGGUGGACUCUCAUGGAAAAACUGGGUUUAAGGAUAUUUGGAAGCACAAGUAGUAUCUCUACUUGUUGCAAAGAAUUUGGCUAGCAUGAGAGGGAAAGGCAAGCUUAACAUGUUGGAUGAUCCAUGAAAAUAUAAUUUAUCUCAUAUGUAAGAAAACAUAACUCAUUACGUUGUCUUCCUUGUCCAACAUCAACUCUUUAGCAUGUCAUAUUUUAAUAAGUGCUCACAAUCAUAAAAGAUGUCCAAGAUAGUAUAUUUAUAUGUGAAAACUUCUCUUUCUUUAUUACUUCCUAUUAAUUGCAACAAUGACCAAAACUAUGCUUGUCAACUCUCAACAAUUUUUAUUCAUCAUACUCUUUAUAUGUUAAGUCAUUAAUCUCCAUAAGGUCCAUAUGAUCUCUUUAUUUCUUUUUAUAUUUUCUUUUAUUCCUUCAAGAUCAUAUAAAGAUAACCAAGCCCUUGACUCAACACUAAUCUUUAUUAUAUAUAGCUCACAGACUCGAUUACAUAGAAGGAUCAUAAAGUAAAACUCAAAACUAGAUCAUACUAAAAUUGUAUUCUACUAGAUCAAGAUAUUACCAAAAGGAUCGAACUAAGAAAAACGGUAAAGAUAAAAGUGUGAUGGCGAUACGAUACCAGGGCACUCCCCCAAGCUUGGCAGUUGCCAAGCGAAGUGUGCAUACCCGAUACUUAGUUCUUCUUUGUUGGUGAAGAAGGUGUUGGUGAUGAUGGAUAGUCGCACAUCGAGCGUAGGAGGUCCUCCAAUUUGCAGAUAAUGCCCUUGAGUGUGAUGAUAUGCCCCUUCAACAAAAUAUUUUCACUCGUGAGAUACUUGUUUUGAAUGCGAGCUAACUCAAUCUUCUUGAAAGCUUCAAUCUCCGUUGGGGUAAAGAGAUUAUGAUGAGGUUGAAGGAUGUCUUCUUCUACUACUGCCGGAACUUGAUCGCCCACGGCCUUCUUGAUCCCAUCAUCCUUGUUGAUCUCUUCGAGCUCUUCUCUCUUCAGCUCUAUCUUCAUUAGCCAAGCAUCGUUGCCCUCAUUGUUGGAGGAGGAGGGAGACAACAUGAUGCCUGGCCUUGACAACCCUGGCAGAAAACAGCUCGAAACAGAAACAAGAGAUUUUUGCGUGGUAUGGUGGUCAAAACCUUCGGGAGAUUAUAUAAUGAAUUUUUACCAGCCAAAAGAAGUAUCGUGCAAGAAAACAGAGUCCGGAGAGCGCACGAGGUGCCCACGAGGCAGGGGCGCGCCCAGGGGGGUAGGGCAUGCCCUCCACCCUCGUAGACGCCCCGUGUCCUUCCCGGACUGGUUCUUAUUUUCCUAUUUUCUUCAAUAUUCCAAAACAGAGAAAAAUGCUAUUAGAAAUGUUUUGGAGUCGGUUUACUUACUGUGCCACAUACCUAUUCCUUUUUGGAAUCUGAAACGUUGUGGAAAGUGUCCCUUAUGUAUUCCUCCGGGGUUACGGUUUCAAUAACAUUAGUUUUAACAUUUAUGGGAUUACCUGAGAUAUAAUGUUUGAUUCUUUGACCGUUCACGACCCUUGGAUUUGUGCCUUCGAAGUUGUUGAUUUUUAUAGCACCGGAACGAUAGACCUCCUCAAUGACGUAAGGACCUUCCCAUUUAGAGAGGAGUUUUCCUGCAAAAAAUCUUAAACGAGAGUUGUAUAACAAUACAUAAUCACCUACAUUAAACUCACGUUUUUGUAUCCUUUUGUCAUGCCAUCUUUUAACUUUUUCUUUAAACAGUUUGGCAUUCUCAUAGGCCUGGGUUCUCCAUUCAUCAAGUGAGCUAAUGUCAAAAGGCCUCUUCUCACCGGCAAGUUUGAAGUCAUAGUUGAGCUCUUUAAUGGCCCAAUAUGCCUUAUGUUCUAGUUCAAGAGGUAAGUGACAUGCUUUUCCAUAAACCAUCUUAUACGGAGACAUACCCAUAGGAUUCUUAUAUGCAGUUCUAUAGGCCCAUAAUGCAUCAUCAAGUUUCUUGGACCAAUUCUUCCUAGAUCUAUUAACAAUCUUUUGCAAAAUUAAUUUAAGCUCUCUAUUACUCAAUUCUACUUGACCACUAGACUGUGGAUGAUAUGGAGAUGCAAUUCUAUGAUUAACAUCAUACUUAGCAAGCAUCUUAUGAAAAGCACCAUGAAUAAAAUGUGAACCACUAUCAGUCAUUAAAUAUCUAGGGACUCCAAACCUUGGAAAAAUAACUUCUUUAAGCAUCUUAAUAGAUGUGUUAUGAUCAACAUUACUAGUUAGACUAGCUUCUACCCACUUAGUAACGUAAUCAACAUCAACUAAAAUAUGUGUAUACCCAUUAGAGGAAGGAAACGGUCCCAUAUAGUCAAAGCCCCAAACAUCAAAUGGCUCAAUAACAAGUGAAUAAUUCAUAGGCAUUUCUUGACGUCUACUAAUAUUACCAAUUCUUUGACAUUCAUCACAAGACAAGACAAAAUUACGGGCAUCCUUGAAGAGAGUAGGCCAAUAAAAACCGGAUUGCAAUACCCUAUGUGCAGUUCUGUCUCCAGCAUGGUGUCAGGACCGGAUUUUCGGGAUAUUAAUUUUCCCAAAAGCGGCCCUUGUGCUCACCAGCCCCAGGAUUACUGUUAGCUAAUGAGACACCAACUUGUUACAGAAACUCCAAGCAAAACACAAAAUAUGAAGUACAAGACCAUUCUGGCCUAUGGGUACAACAAUUUGUUUCUAGAGGUUGAUGGCGGAAGCGGUUUGCUGAUCAUCAGCGUCUAUGGGACUCCAUUUCCCACAGGAACAGCUGACCAGGAUAACUCCUAUCUUUGCGAGGCUGCUAUCACCAUUACGUAGGUUCCGGGGCUGUCAUCGCAACGCUCUUCUCCAUGCAAGAAAUAUGGCCAAGACAAUAGCCAGGGACAAGCCAGUGAGUACUUUGAAUGUACUCGCAAACAUUAAGAACAAAGGUAUAAUAUAGCCACUGAUAAUCAUGCUUUAAAAUAUUCAAUGAUCACUUCGUCAGUUAUGAAAUAAGGUUCAUGAUGCACGCAAGUAAAUCAUUUAAAUAAAUCAUGAGUAAAACAAUCAGGGUGUAGAAAUAUAGAGCACCGAUCGGGUGUCUGAAGCGACGCCUCGAAAGGAUAAUAAUAUGAAGCAUGCCUCAGUCGGGCGUCUGAGCGACACCACAGAAAGGGCUUAUAUAUAAAAGGAAUAACAAGCAUGCCACAAUCGGGCGUCGGUGCGACACCACAUAAAGGGCUUAUAAGUAAAUGAAAUAACGGACAUGCCACAGUCGGGCGUCUGGGCGACACCACAUAAAGGGCUUAUAUAAGAAUAAUCACAGUGAAUAUCCAGGAGGUAGAACCAUCCCAGAGAUACUCAAUAAUUCAAAUAACAUAAAUGAUUAGUCCAUAAAAAUAAUAAUCAUAAUCAUCAUAUGUCACAAGUUAUGAUCCAUAUUCUGGUUUAGUAGUUUCUCCUCCGAAGACCAACACUAAGACCGACGCUUGACCCAUCCUAGACUGUAGUCCUUAACCAUGGACACGGCUAUUCGAAUAGGUUCAAUAUCUCUGCAGAGGGUGUACUCUUUACCCACGAGUAACGGAUUUCUUUAGUCCAUCGGAACUAAUUCCGUCUACAGUCUUUUAGUCGAAAACACGCCUGACUUGCACACACCAGCUUAACUUUACUCGUGUCUGGAAUCACCCAGACACCUGUUAAGCAAAACUCUAAGUGGGGAGGCUACAACCUCGCGUAGCAUGGGAUCAAAUUUUUAUCGCGCGCUCUAAGGGGUGGCCUCCCCUCUUGGUCCCAACCGGAAACACCCAUGCCCCCGGACCAGGUGGCAUGCCUACCAGCUACAACCGGUAUCUUCCACCAUGGCCUCUCUGUAUGGUGUGUGCUAGGACAGGGGUUGACAACUUACUGAACCGUACCCUACCAACGGCAGGGGCAAGUGGCAGCACGAAACAAUUAUGGGGGUUACUGGAACAAGACUCGAUCUACAGCCGACUCAGGAGGCUUACGUGUUUCCUGCAUGGUUAGCUCAAGAAUUAUAUUUCACAGCCAUCAGACAUAACCACCACUUAUCAUACCCCCCCCUACCCUACCGGUCAUAAUCGUCUCGACGAGGGACAAGCUCGUGUCUACACAAGACAGAGACUUUCCCCGGUCCUUCCCGGUAGACAUGAGAGGCAUAUGAGGGUGAUUGCUAUCACAAGUAUGUCCAUUUCCAACAGCAAGAAUUUUCAUUUAUGCACUCAAGGUGUAUGAUCAUAUCAUCAUAUAAAAAUAAUCAACGCUUCAUGUCGAGGUGGUGUUAUAACCGUAUCGAACAACCCACAAAACAUUAUGCCAGGGUUCAGAAUGCUUGCCUUUAAGUUGUGGAGAGGCAGGGUGCAUUCCAACAUCUUGAAAGUUUUCUUCUCUCUCCAACAAAUCCUAUUUUUGGAAAUAUUUAAAUUAUCACCUAAUUUAAAAAUAGUACAAAAAUGUUUCUUGGAAAAUUUUGAAAUAAAUAUUAAAAUAAACUAGACAAUAUUUGAGGAACAACAGAAAAAGAAUAAAGUCAUUUGGAUUUAUAUUUUAAAAGUUAUAGCCAGUCAAAGUUUAGUCAAAAUCUGUUUUUAAAAUAAAACAGAAAAAAGAAAAACGCUUCGAUGAGAAUACGCUUUCGAGUAGAGGAGACGUACUCUGGGGUGAUGCGCUUUCACUUAAACACGUGGACCGGUGCGGGGUCACUGACAGUGGGUCCACGGGGCCCACUGGUCAGGUUUGACCGGUCUCCUUUCCCUCCUCUUCCUCUGCCUGAGAGGGGGCGGGACUCCGGUGAUCGUCGCCGGUGAUUGGCGUCUCCUCGUGGGGCCCCGAGGGCGGGGAUGGAUCCGCCACUCCAGGACGGUCCUCCCGGUGGUCGCCAGGCCGGAGGGGACGGAGGGAGCUACCGGUGGCGAGCUCCUCGGCGGAGGUGGCCUCGGGAGCUUUUGGGGGCCGGGGCUAUGGUGGUUCUCGAGCUGGAUUGAGGUGUUGGGCAGCUCCGCGGGAUCACGGGGAUUCGAAUGGUGGCACUAGUUUGACGGGAGGGGCUCGGGUUGUGACCGAAUGGAUUGGAGGGCGGCGGCGGCUGAUCCUACCGGAGCUGGGGAAGAUGACCUCUUCUCUUCGAUUGUUGGCUACGGGGGAACUAGGGGAGUGGACUGAGAUCGCAUGGGUGCUCAGAUGAGCUCGGGGUCUCUCUUCAUAGUGCAACGAGGUCGGUUCCGCGGUGGCAGUGGAUAAGGUCGCCGGCGAACCGCCUCUCUGUUGCUGCAAGGGGUCGUGGCGGCGACAAGCGCUAGGGGACACGCUUGUGGAUGAGCUCGCGCUGCUCCAGGGGGCAGGUGGCGAGCCGGGGUGGCUCGGGCGGCACCGACCGGGGCAGGAGCCACUGUGGCGACCGCUUGCCGCCGUGGCCGACCUGACGGCGGCCCUGUAGGGCGCCAGGGGAGGGCUUGGCUGGUUCCUGCAAGCAGAUGAGGUCGGGGGGUGCGGCUCUGCAGGCGAGCAAGGGCCGGGGCGCGACGCGGCGACCCGAGCGCACGCACGUGCAAAACGCGCGCUCUGGGCACGCCCAGAGCACGCGCGAGACGUGCUCGACAGUAUGCCAGGGUAGCCUAGAGUGCUUGAGAGGGGCUGGCAAAUAACAGGACUAGUUUAGGGUUAGCAAGGGGAUCAAAAGACAUGGUGGUUUGGUCAGGGGCUCAAGUUCACAAUGUAAACUUGAAAUCAUGCCAAAUCUGGCCAUGCACACAGGGUGUUUGACAAAAUGCCAAAGGCAUCUAGGCAAUUCUUGCGGUGGCCCAAAUCUGCAGAUCAGAGUCUCUUUGAAUGAAUAAGAGAGUGGGGAGGUUAGUUUGCCAAAAUCUCAAACUUGUUAGUGUAAGUUUUGCGAAACUUCAGUUCUGGGCAGAAGGAAAAAGGCAUUGUUUUAGGAGCCAAAAAUCAUCCAAUGGGUCCACUCUCCUGGACUUAAGGGUUUGGUAUGGUGUACUACAAGCAGGAGAAAGCUCAUGGCCACUAGAGCAAAAUUUAUUUGGGAUGCAGUUGAAAACACCCAACUGGGCCAGAAUGAAAAAGAGGUUGAUUCACUCAAAUUUUUCAAAGAACAUAAAUGGGUUUUUUGCAUGAAGUUGAAUAAUAUACUCCUAUUAACAUCCCAUAAUUUUGGUGGAAGCUAGAAAGAAAUAUUUAAAGGGGUUGUAGUGCAAAAUUGCUCUCUGGACCAGAUUUGGAAACUUGGUGUAGAGCUCAAAAUAUUAAAUGAAUGAAAUAUAUUUUUGCAUAAAAGUGAUUUAAAAACAUCUCAUGACAUCUCCAAAUUUUGGUGAAAAUUUUAAAUAAAUUUAUCAAGUGGUUGUAGUUCAAAAGAGCUCCAAAACUAAAGGAAGAAUCAUUUUAGGGAAAAAACUCAGAGAGAAAUAAUUGUGCAAAUCAAUUCCACUGAUAAUAGAAAUGUUUUCUUGAGAGGUUAAACAAGUCCAAUAAUAUUUUUGGAAAGUUUUUCACUUGAGGUAAAAACUCCAUAAUAAGGAAAAGGAUGGCUCUGAAAUCAAAAGAAAAUCCAGAAAAUUAAAGUUUAAAUUUCCUGGAAAAAUUUUUAAUUAAUAAAACAAGGUUAAAAUUUUGGGGUGUCACACAUGGUGUCCUCCAUAAGCCUCAGAGUGACACUUGCAUAGGAUCUGUUCCUGUUCAUGCUCAGGUACGCAACGUCUAAUAACACCAUCUACUCCUUCUUUAUAAACAUGUGGGUCAUCCCAGAAGUAAUGUCUUAAAUCAUAGAAAAACUUUUUAUUUUGCUGGUAUGUGAAACUAGGUGGUAUAAACUUAGCAACAAUAUAAUUAGCAUAAUCAGCAUACCAUGGAGCAGUACGAGAAGCAUUUAUCACAGCUAAUUGUUCAUCAGGAAAGCUAUCAUCAAUAGGUAGUGGGUCAUCAAGAACAUUCUCUAACCUAGACAAGUUGUCUGCAACGGGGUUCUCAGCUCCCUUUCUAUCAAUAAUAUGCAAAUCAAAUUCUUGUAGCAAGAGAACACAUCUAAUAAGUCUAGGUUUAGUAUCUUUCUUUUCUAUAAGAUAUUUAAUAGCAGCAUGAUCAGUGUGAACAGAUACUUUAGAAUCAACUAUAUAAGGUCUGAACUUAUCACAACCAAAUACAACUGCUAAAAAUUCUUUUUCAGUAGUAGCAUAAUUUCUCUGGGCACUGUCUAGAGUUCUACUAGCAUAUUGGAUAGCAUUUAAUUUCUUAUCAACUCUUUGCCCUAGAACAGCCCCUACAACAUAAUCACUAGCAUCACACAUAAUUUCAAAUGGUAAAUUCCAAUCAGGAGGCUGAGCAAUAGGUGCAGAAAUCAAAACUUUCUUAAGUAUUUCAAAUGCUUCUACACAAUCAUCAUCAAAGACAAAUGGAACAUCUUUUUGUAAGAGAUUAGUCAGAGGCCUAGAAAUUUUAUAGAAGUCCUUAAUGAACCUCCUAUAAAAACCGACAUGACCAAGAAUUCUUAUACCUUUAAUGUCCUUAGGACACAACAUCUUUUCAAUAGCAUCAACUUUAGCUUUAUCAACUUCAAUACCUCUUUUAGAAAUUUUAUGCCCCAAGACAAUGCCUUCAUUAACCAUAAAGUGGCACUUCUCCCAAUUCAAGACAAGAUUAGUUUCUUCACAUCUCUGCAAAACUCGAUCAAGGUUGCUAAUGACCCACAAGUAUAGGGGGACUAUCGUAGUCCUUUCGAUAAGUAAGAGUGUCGAACCCAACAAGGAGCAGAAGGAAAUGAUGAGUGGUUUUCAGCAAGGUAUUCUCUGCAAGUACUGAAAUACGUGGUAAUAGAUAGUUUUGUGAUAAGAUAAUUUGUAACGAGCAACAAGUAACAAAAAGUAAAUAAAGUGCAGCAAGGUGGCCCAAUCCUUUUUUUAGCAAAGGACAAGCCUGGACAAACUCUUAUAUAAGGAAAAACGCUCUCGAGGACACAUGGGUAUAUUGUUAAGCUAGUUUUCAUCACGUUCAUAUGAUUCGCGUUCGGUACUUUGAUAAUUUGACAUGUGGGUGGACCGGUGCUUGGGUGGUGUUCUUACUUGAACAAGCAUCCCACUUAUGAUUAACCUCUAUUGCAAGCGUCCGCAACUACAACAAAAGUAUUAAGGUAAACCUAACCAUAGCAUGAAACAUAUGGAUCCAAAUCAGCCCCUUACGGAGCAACGCAUAAACUAGGGUUUAAGCUUCUGUCACUCUAGCAACCCAUCAUCUACUUAUUACUUCCCAAUGCCUUCCUCUAGGCCCAAAUAAUGGUGAAGUGUUAUGUAGUCGGCGUUCACAUAACACCACUAGAGGCUAGACAACAUACAUCUCAUCAAAAUAUCGAACGAAUACCAAAUUCACAUGACUACUAAUAGCAAGACUUCUCCCUUGUCCUCGGGAACAAACGUAACUACUCACAAAGCAUAUUCAUGUUCAUAAUCAGAGGGGUAAUAAUAUGCAUAAAGGAUCUGAACAUAUGAUCUUCCACCAAUUAAACCAACUAGCAUCAACUACAAGGAGUAAUUAACACUACUAGCAACCUAGUAGCACCAAUCCCGGGCUUGGAGACAAGAAUUGGAUACAAGAGAUGAACUAGGAUUUUGAGAUGAGAUGGUGCUGAUGAAGAUGUUGAUGGAGAUUGCCCUCUCCCGAUGAGAGGAGCGUUGAUGAUGACAAUGGCGAUGAUUUCCCCCUUUGGGAGGGAAGUUUCCCCGGCAGAACAGCUCUGCCGGAGCUCUAGAUUGGAUCCGCCAAGGUUCCGCCUCGUGGCGGCGGAGUUUCGUCCCGAAAGGUUGCUUCUUAUUUUUUUUCUCGACGAAAGACUUCAUAUAGGAGAAGAUGGUCAUCGGAGAGCCACCAGGGGGGCCACGAGGUAGGGGGGCACGCCCUAGGGGGGGGGCGCCCCCCACCCUCAUGGAAAGGGUGUGGGCCCCCUGGUCUUCAUCUUUGGCGAGGAUUUUUCAUUAUUUAUUAUAAGGUAUUCCGUGGAGUUUCAGGACUUUUGGAAUUGUGCAGAAUAGGCCUCUAAUAUUUGCUCCUUUUCCAGCCCAGAAUUCCAGCUGCCGGCACUCUCCCUCCUUAUGUAAACCUUGUAAAAUAAGAGAGAAUAGCCAUAAGUAUUGUGACAUAACAUGAAAUAACAACCCAUAAUGCAAUAAAUAUCGAUAUAAAAGCAUGAUGCAAAAUGGAUGUAUCAGUUGCUUAAGCAAUCAUCAAAAUAAGUUCCAUAUACAGAAAAAUCAUCCAUGAAUACCUCAACAAUCUUUUCACAAAAGUCAGAGAAUAUAGCAGUCAUACAUCUUUGAAGGUAGCAUGUGCAUUGCAUAAACCAAAAGGCAUACGUCUAUAAGCAAAGGUACCGAAAGGGCAAGUAAAAGUUGCCUUUUCUUGAUCCUCUUUUGACACAAGUAUUUGAGAGAAACCAGAAUAACCAUCUAGAAAGCAAAAAUGUGUAUGUUUGGAUAAUCUUUCUAGCAUUUGAUCAAUAAAAGGUAAUGGGUAGUGAUCCUUUUUAGUAGCUUUAUUUAAUUUGCGGAAAUCAAUUACCAUUCUAUAACCUGUAACAAUUCUUUGUGGGAUCAAUUCAUCUUUAUCAUUAGGAACAACAAUAAUACCUCCCUUCUUAGGGACACAAUGGACAGGACUUACCCACUGACUAUCAACAACGGGGCAAAUUAUACCUGCCUCCAAAAGCUUUAGUAUUUCUUUUCUUACCACUUCUUUCAUCUUAGGAUUUAACCAUCGUUGGUGAUCAACAACUGGUUUCGCGUCUUUCUCCAGUUUUAUUUUGUGCUGGCAGAGAGUGGGACUAAUGCCCUUAAGAUCAUCAAGAGUAUAUCCAAUAGCAGCAUGUUGCUUCUUCAGAGUUUUCAAUAAUUUCUUUUCUUCAUGCUCUGAAAGGUUAGCACUAAUAAUAACAGGAUAUAUCUCUUUCUCAUCGAGAUAAGCAUAUUUAAGAGUAUCAGGUAAAGGUUUAAGCUCAAACACGGGAUCACCCUUAGGUGGAGGAGGAUCCCUAGGAUUUCAACAGGCAAGUUGUGUUUCAAAUUAAAAUAGGCCCCUGUUUAAAUAAUACUUCAUCUAUUUCCCUUCUUUCAUUCAUAAACAUAUCAUUUCCAUGGUCUAGAAAAUAUUGUUCUAAAGGAUCACUAAGAGGCACAACAAUAGAAGCAAGACCAAUAAUUUCAUCUUUACUAGGCAAUUCUUUAUCAUGGGGUUGUCUAUGAAAUUUAGCAAAAUUAAAUUCAUGAGACAUAUCCCCUAAACCAACAGAAACAAUAUCCUUAUUGCAGUCUAUCUUAGCAUUAACAGUAUUCAAGAAGGGUCUACCAAAUAUAAUGGGACAAAAGUUAUCUUGUGCGGAACCAAGAACAAGAAAAUCAGCAGGAUAUUUAACUUUUCCACACAAGACUUCAACAUCUCUAACAAUCCCAACCGGUGAAAUAGUAUCUCUAUUGGCAAGCUUAAUUGUAACAUCAAUUUCUUCUAACUCAGCAGGUGCAAUAUCAUGCAUAAUUUCUUUAUAUAAGGAAUGAGGUAUUGCACUUGCACUAGCACCCAUAUCCCAUAAGCCAUGAUAACAAUGAUCUCCUAUUUUAACAGAAAUAACAGGCAUGCAUACAACAGGUCUAUGUUUAUUUUUAGUAUCGGGUCUAGCAAUUCUAGCAGCUUCAUCACACAAGUAAAUAACAUGCCCAUCAAUAUUACCAGCCAAGAGAUCUUUGACCAUAGCAACACUAGGUUCAACUUUAAUUUCCUCAGGGGGAGUAGGUGUUCUAGUAUUACUCUUACGAACCACAGUUGAAGCUUUAGCAUGAUCCUUUAUUCUAACUGGGAAAGGUGGUUUCUCAAUAUAAGCAGUGGGAACAACAGGAUCAUUAUAAGUGAUAGUCUUUUCUUCAACUUUAAUAGGUUCAACUACUUUUACCUUAAUGAUAGGAUUAUAUUUAAACCACUUCUCCUUAGGGAGAUCAACAUGAGUAGCAAAGGAUUCACAGAAAGAAGCUACUAUCUCAGAGUCAAGUCCAUAUUUAGUGCUAAAUUCAUGGAAAACAUCGGUAUCCAUAAAAGAUUUAACACAAUCAAAUUUAGGUGUUAUACCUGACUCCUUACCUUCGUCGAGGUCCCAAUCUUCAGAGUUGCGUUUAAUUCUUUCCAAUUAAUACCAUUUGAAUUCAAUAGUCUUCAUCAUAAAAGAACCAGUACAAGAAGUAUCGAGCAUGGAGCGAUUAUCGAGAGAAAGACGAGCAUAAAAUUUUUGAAUAAUAAUUUCUCUUGAGAGCUCAUGAUUGGGGCAUGAAUAUAACAUUGACUUAAGCCACCACCAAGCUUGAGCGAUGCUUUCUCCUUCACGAGGCCAAAAAUUAUAUAUAUAAUUACGAUCACGAUGAACAAGAUGCAUAGGAUAAAACUUCUGAUGAAAUUCCAAUUUCAAUCGAUUGUAGUUCCUUGAUCCCAUAUCAUCACAUAGCCUAAACCAUGUCAAUGCCUUUUCCUUCAAAGAUAAAGGGAAGAAGUUAUUCUUGAUAACAUCCUCGGGCAUACCUACAAGCUUAAAUAAUCCACAAACUUCAUCCACAUAGAUUAGGUGCAAAUCGAGAUGCAAUGUUCCAUCUCCUAUAAAAGGAUUAGCUAGUAGUUUCUCUAUCGUACCCGAAGGAAUUUCAAAGUAAACAUUUUUAGUAGGUUCUGUAGGUUGAGGAGCAAAUCUUGGCUCUCCUGUUCGGGGUGAAGAUACCCCGAACAAGCCCCUCAAAGGAUUAUGUUCCAUAGUAACAAGUGACAGUAAAUUUCAGCACACUAUAUAAAUUUUUCCUUACCAAAUUCCACCUACCAAAGGCGCUUCACUCCCCGGCAACGGCGCCAGAAAAGAGUCUUGAUGACCCACAAGUAUAGGGGAUCUAUCGUAGUCCUUUCGAUAAUUAAGAGUGACGAACCCAACGAGGAGCAGAAGGAAAUGAUAAGCAGUUUUCAGUAAGGUAUUCUCUGCAAGCACUGAAAUUAUCGGUAACAGAUAGUUUUGUGUUAAGGUAAUUUGUAACGGGUAACAAGUAAUGAAAGUAAAUAAGGUGCAUCAAGAUGGCCCAAUCCUUUUUGUAGCAAAGGACAAGCCUGGACAAACUCUUAUAUAAAGGAAAACACUCCCGAGGACACAUGGGAAUUAUCGUCAAGCUAGUUUUCAUCACGUUCAUAUGAUUCGCGUUCAGUACUUUGAUAAUUUGAUAUGUGGGUGGACCGGUGCUUGGGUACUGCCCUUCCUUGGACAAGCAUCACACUUAUGAUUAACCCCUAUUGCAAGCAUCUGCAACUACAAAAGAAGUAUUAAGGUAAACCUAACCAUAGCAUGAAACAUAUGGAUCCAAAUCAGCCCCUUACGAAGCAACUCAUAAACUAGGAUUUAAGCUUCUGUCACUCUAGCAACCCAUAAUCUACUUAUUACUUCCCAAUGCCUUCCUCUAGGCCCAAAUAAUGGUGAAGUGUCAUGUAGUCGACGUUCACAUGACACCACUAGAGGAAAGACAACAUACAUCUCAUCAAAAUAUCGAACGAAUACUAAAUUCACAUGACUACUUAUAGCAAGACUUCUCCCAUGUCCUCAGGAACAAACGUAACUAUUCACAAAUCAUAUUCAUGUUCAUAAUCAGAGGGGUAUUAAUAUGCAUAAAGGAUCUGAAUAUAUGAUCUUCCACCGAAUAAACCAACUAGCAUCAACUACAAGGAGUAAUCAACACUACUAGCAACCCACAGGUACCAAUUUGAGGCUUUGGGACAAAGAUUGGAUACAAGAGAUGAACUAGGGUUUGAGAUGAGGUGGUGCUGGUGAAGAUGUUGAUGGAGAUUGACCCCCUCCUGAUGAGAGGAUCGAUGAUGAUGACGGUGGUGAUGAUUUCCCCCUCUCGGGGGGAAGUUUCCCUGGCAGAACAGCUCCGCCGGAGCCUUAGAUUGGUUCCGCCAAGGUUCUGCCUCGUGGAGGUGGAGUUUCAUCCCGUGAGUUAGCUUAUGAUUUUUUCCUCGACGAAAGACUCCAUAUAGCCAAAGAUGGGCAUCAGAGGGCUGCCAGGGGGCCCACGAGGCAGGGGGCACGCCCAGGGGGGUAGGGCGCACCCCCACCCUCAUGGACGGUGGGUGGCCCCUCUCUGGUACUUCUUUCACCCAAUAUUUUUUAUAAUUUUUGAAACAUGCUCCCGUGAAGUUUCAGGACUUUUGGAGAUGUGCAGAAUAGGUCUCUAAUAUUUGCUCCUUUUCCAGCCCAGAAUUCCAGCUGCCGGCAUUCCCCUCUUCAUGUAAACCUUGUAAAAUAAGAGAGAAUAUGCAUAAGUAUUGUGACAUAAUAUGUAAUAGCAGCCCAUAAUGCAAUAAAUAUUGAUAUGAAAGCAUGAUGCAAAAUGGACGUAUCAAGUAUCCACUAUGUUCCGAGAUUGAUGUUGCUAUGACUUUGCCAUGCUUAAUGCUUGUCACUUUGGGCUCGGGUGCCAUGAUUUCAGAUCUGAACCGUUUAUGUUAUCACCAUUAUAUCCAUGUUCUAGAUCCGAUCUUGCAAGUUAUAGUCACCUACUUCGUGUUAUGAUCCGGCAACCCCAGAGUGACAAUAGUCAGGACCACUCCCGGUGAUGACCGUAGUUUGAGGAGUUCAUGUAUUCACCAUGUGUUAAUGCUUUGUUCUGGUUCUCUAUUAAAAGGAGGCCUUAAUAUCCCUUAGUUUCCAAUUGGACCCCGCUGCCACGGGAGGGCCCGAUUCUUUAUCUUCUCGCUCUAUUCUUGUGUGUUUGAAAAACCUUAGAAAAACAAAAAAUUAGUUGUAGUUAGUUUACUUUCUAUGCAUGCUUAGUUGUAAUACUAAAAAGAAAAACUCAAAAAUAUUUCCUUGUUCUUCUUUUGCUUGUUCGGAGUUUUUCCGUGUAAAUAGUUUUUCUCGUUUUUUGCUUUUCCAUUUUAUUUGCUUAUUCAAGAAAACCAAAAACUCCAAAAAUAUUUCAGUGUGUUUCUCUGAAUUUAUUUUCUUUUUAUUCGAGUCGUACUGAGGAGAAGACCAUAUUACCCUAUAUUCUCCUGUUGAAUAAAAUGUUUGCAGAUUCCAGCUUAGUCCACGACACUCUUGCACUUUUCUUAAUUUCACAUCGUUCGGUCGUGCAAGUGAAAAGCAAUAAUGACGAUAUUCGACGAACUGGCCGUGGCAGAGAGAAACUGGUAUGAACUCGACUUGUUUUCUUUUUUAUAAAUAUGUUUAACCUAUUAUCCAUGCUUCAGUCCAUUAUGAUUAAACAUCUUUGCAAUGACAAUUAGAAAUUAUAGUUUUUCAUUCCAUGCAUAAGUAGCUAGGAGUGGAUAAUGAUUUAUCUUGGAUAUCAACAUUGCAUUAAAAUGAUUGCGAUGUAGUAUGAUGAUAUGUUAUCCUUCUCUGAAUGUUCGAGUGGCUUGAAUUGGCACAUGUUCUGUAACACCCCGGUGUAAUGAUGCUACAGUAACCCCUGGGGUUAAGUUAAUAAUUUUGCUAAACAAGUGUUUGAUCAUCAUUGUCUCCUGUCUCUUUCAAAUUCCAGUUGAAUUCAUUUUCAGAUUAUGAGUGAAAUUCAAAAUGCUCAAACAUGAAAACUAAAAUGUUCAUCAUGUGCCAAAUAUUCCACAACUAAUAUUGGUGGUGAACCAACAUUUUUGCAAAGGGUUUAAGUGGCCUAAACUACUUAAAACAAUGACCUAAGAAAUAAAUUAAAUGCCCUUUUUAAUUUAUAAAAUUGGCAACUAAUCCAAAAGCCUCCCAACCUUUUAAUGGCAGUGCACUUUAAUUCUAGGAAUUUGUUUUUGCCAGUGGCAUAAUUUUGCAAAGUCAUUUUUGGCUAAAAGGAAAAUGCAAAAGCUGCUGAAAAUAANNNNNNNNNNNNNNNNNNNNNNNNNNNNNNNNNNNNNNNNNNNNNNNNNNNNNNNNNNNNNNNNNNNNNNNNNNNNNNNNNNNNNNNNNNNNNNNNNNNNNNNNNNNNNNNNNNNNNNNNNNNNNNNNNNNNNNNNNNNNNNNNNNNNNNNNNNNNNNNNNNNNNNNNNNNNNNNNNNNNNNNNNNNNNNNNNNNNNNNNNNNNNNNNNNNNNNNNNNNNNNNNNNNNNNNNNNNNNNNNNNNNNNNNNNNNNNNNNNNNNNNNNNNNNNNNNNNNNNCCCCCCUUCCUGUUCCUUGGUCGCGCGCCGCUACAGGGGCUGGCUCCCGCCGAACCACCUCGCCGACGACGACGGCCGAUAAGGCCCCCCGGGCCUCCCCGCCUCCUCAAUCCCCUCUUCCACUCCCCUGUCUCGCCUCCCACGUCCACCCCGCUAUCCUCCCUCUCUCUCGCACGCUCGCUCCUCUCCCCCUCAGCCAAGCACCAUCGCCGCCGUUCUCCGUCGACCACGCUGCCACCGGCCACCCCGCGCCUCGCCAGCACGUCCACGAGACGCGUCGUCGACCUCUACCUCGACUAGGCCUCGCCAUCGAGCUUGGAGACGACCACACAGUCGGGAUCGAGCUCGUCCCCACCUUCUCUGUCACCGGUAACCGUCGUUGUCUCCGGCCACCUCUACGCUCCUAAGUUGUCGCGGGCUUUUCGCAGCCGCUCGGUGAUGUCCUCCCUUCCUCCAUUCGUCUCAUUGCGUCACGUGUUUCUCCCUAGCUAGCUCGCCGCCGUUGUCGUGAGCUCAUCGCCGCCGAUCACCUCACCGUCGUGGCCACCCUGGCCCGAGCUCGCGUCUGAGCUCGUAGUCGAGCUCCUGGGGCUCGUAGGUGAAGGAAAUAUGCCCUAGAGGCAAUAAUAAAGUUAUUAUUUAUUUCCUUAUAUCAUGAUAAAUGUUUAUUAUUCAUGCUAGAAUUGUAUUAACCAGAAACAUAAUACAUGUUUGAAUACAUAGACAAACAGAGUGUCACUAGUAUGCCUCUACUUGACUAGCUCGUUGAUCAAAGAUGGUUAUGUUUCCUAACCAUAGACAUGAGUUGUCAUUUGAUUUACGGGAUCACAUCAUUAGGAGAAUUAUGUGAUUGACUUGACCCAUUACGUUAGCCUAGCACUUGAUCGUUUAGUUUGUUGCUAUUGCUUUCUUCAUGACUUAUACAUGUUCCUAUGACUAUGAGAUUAUGCAACUCCCUUUUACCGGAGGAACACUUUGUGUGCUACCAAACGUCACAACGUAACUGGGUGAUUAUAAAGGUGCUCUACAGGUGUCUCCGAAGGUACUUGUUGGGUUGGCGUAUUUCGAGAUUAGGAUUUGUCACUCCGAUUGUCGGAGAGGUAUCUCUAGGCCCUCUCGGUAAUGCACAUCACUUAAGCCUUGCAAGCAUUGUAACUAAUGAGUUAGUUGCGGGAUGAUGUAUUACGAAACGAGUAAAUAGACUUGCAAGUAACGAGAUUGAACUAGGUAUUGAGAUACCGAUGAUCGAAUCUCGGGCAAGUAACAUACCGAUGACAAAGGGAACAACGUAUGUUGUUAUGCGGUCUGACCGAUAAAGAUCUUCGUAGAAUAUGUGGGAGCCAAUAUGAGCAUCCAGGUUCCGCUAUUGGUUAUUGACCGGAGACGUGUCUCGGCCAUGUCUACAUAGUUCUCGAACCCGUAGGGUCCACACACUUAACGCUACGAUGACAGUUAUAUUAUGAGUUUUAUGUUUUGAUGUAUCGAAGGUUGUUCGGAGUCCCGAAUGUGAUCACGGACAUAACGAGGAGUCUCGAAAUGAUUGAUACAUGAAGAUUGAUAUAUUGGAAGCCUAUGUUUGGAUAUCGGAAGUGUUCCGGGUGAAAUCAGGAUUUUAUCGGAUUACUGGGAGGUUACCGGAACCCCCCGGGGGCUUAAUGGGCCUACAUGGGCCUUAGUGGAAAAGGAGGGAAGCUAAGGAAGUGUGGGGCGCCCCCCCAAGGCCCAAACCAAAUUGGUUUAGGGCAAGGGGGCCGGCCCCCCUCUUUCCUUCUUCCCCCCUCCCAAGUCCUAUUCCAACUAGGAAAGGGGGGAGUCCUACUCCCGGUGGGAGUAGGACUCCUCCUGGCACGCCUAUGUCCUGGCCGGUCGCACCCCCUUCCUCCUUUAUAUAUAGGGGCAGGGGGCACCCUAGAAACACAACAUUAGAUCAUUGAUCUCUUAGCCGUGUGCGGUGCCCCCCUCCACCAUAGUCCACCUCGAUAAUACUGUAGCGGUGCUUAGGCGAAGCCCUGCGUCGGUAGAACAUCAACAUCGUCACCACGCCGUCGUGCUGACGAAACUCUCCCUCAACACUCGGCUGGAUCAGAGUUCGAGGGACGUCAUCGGGCUGAACGUGUGCUGAAAUCGUAGGUGCCGUACGUUCGGUACUUGAUCGAUCGGAUCGUGAAGACAUACGACUACAUCAACCGGGUUGUGCUAACGCUUCCGCUUUCGGUCUACGAGGGUACAUGGACAACACUCUCCCCUCUCGUUGCUAUGCAUCAUCAUGAUCUUGCGUGUGCGUAGGAAUUUUUUUGAAAUUACUACGUUCCCCAACAGUGGCAUCCGAGCCAGGUUUUAUGCUUUGAUGUUAUAUGCACGAGUAGAACACAAGUGAGUUGUGGGCGAUAUAAGUCAUACUGCUUACCAGCAUGUCAUACUUUGGUUUGGCGGUAUUGUUGGAUGAAGCGGCCCGGACCGACAUUACGCGUACGCUUACGCGAGACUGGUUCUACCGACGUGCUUUGCACACAGGUGGCUGGCGGGUGUCAGUUUCUCCAACUUUAGUUGAACCGAGUGUGGCUAUGCCCGGUCCUUGCGAAGGUUAAAACAACACCAACUUGACAAACUAUCGUUGUGGUUCUGAUGCGUAGGUAAGAACGGUUCUUACUAAGCCCGUAGCAGCCACGUAAAACUUGUAACAACAAAGUAGAGGACGUCUAACUUGUUUUCGCAGGGCAUGUUGUGAUGUGAUAUGGUCAAGACAUGAUGCCAAAUUUAAUUGUAUGAGAUGAUCAUGUUUUGUAACCGAAGUUAUCGGCAACUGGCAGGAGCCAUAUGGUUGUCGCUUUAUUGUGUGCAAUGCAAUCGCCCUGUAAUGCUUUACUUUACCACUAAGCGGUAGCGAUAGUCGUGGAAGCAUAAGAUUGGAGAGACGACAACGAUGCUAUGAUGGAGAUCAAGGUGUUGCGCCGGUGACGAUGGUGAUCAUGACAGUGCUUCGGAGAUGGAGAUCACAUGCACAAGAUGAUGAUGGCCAUAUCAUAUCACUUAUAUUGAUUGCAUGUGAUGUUUAUCUUUUAUGCAUCUUAUCUUGCUUUGAUUGACGGUAGCAUUAUAAGAUGAUCCCUCACUAAAAUUAUCAAAGUAUAAGUGUUCUCCCUGAGUAUGCACCAUUGCGAAAGUUCUUCGUGCUGAGACACCACGUGAUGAUCGGGUGUGAUAGGCUCUACGUUCAAAUACAACAGGUGCAAAACAUUUGCACACGCGGAAUACUCAGGUUAAACUUGACGAGCCUAGCAUAUAACAGAUAUGGCCUCGGAACACGGAGACCGAAAGGUCGAGCAUGAAUCAUAUAGUAGAUAUGAUCAACAUAGUGAUGUUCACCAUUGAAACUACUCAAUCUCACGUGAUGAUCGUACAUGGUUUAGUUGAUUUGGAUCACGUGAUCACUUAGAGGAUUAGAGGGAUGCCUAUCUAAGUGGGAGUUCUUAAGUAAUAUGAUUAAUUGAACUUAAAUUUAUCAUGAACUUAGUACCUGAUAGUAUCUUGCUUGUCUAUGUUGAUUGUAGAUAGAUGGCUCGUGCUAUUGUUCCGUUGAAUUUUAAUGCAUUCCUUGAGAAAGCAAAGUUGAAAGAUGAUGGUAGCAAUUACACGGACUAGGUCCGUAACUUGAGGAUUAUCCUCAUUGCUGCAUAGAAGAAUUACGUCCUGGAAGCACCGCUGAGUUCCAGGCCUGCUGCUGAUGCAACUAAUGAUGCUAAGAACGCCUGGCAGAGCAAAGCUGAUGACUACUCGAUAGUUCAGUGUGCCAUGCUUUACGGCUUAGAACCGAGACUUCAACGGCGUUUUGAAUGUCAUGGAGCAUAUGAGAUGUUCCAGGAGUUGAAGAUAAUAUUUCAAGCAAAUUCCCGGAUUGAGAGAUAUGAAGUCUCCAAUAAGUUCUAUAGCUGCAAGAUGGAGGAGAAUAGUUCUGUCAGUGAACAUAUACUCAGAAUGUCUGGGUACCAUAAUCACUUGACUCAGCUGGGAGUUAAUCUUCCGGUUGAUAGUGUCAUUGACAGAGUUCUUCAAUCACUGCCGCCAAGCUACAAGAGCUUCGUGAUGAACUAUAAUAUGCAAGGGAUGAAUAAAACAAUUCCCAAGCUCUUCGCAAUGCUAAAGGCAGCGGAGGUAGAAAUCAAGAAGGAGCAUCAAGUGUUGAUGGUCAAAAAGACCACUAGUUUCAAGAAAAAGGGCAAAGGGAAGAAGAAGGGGAACUUCAAGAAGAACAGCAAGCAAGUUGCUGCUCAAGAGAAGAAACCCAAGUCUGGACCUAAGCGUGAAACUGAGUGCUUCUGCUACAAGCAGACUGGUCACUAGAAGCGGAACUGCCCCAAGUAUUUGGCGGAUAAGAAGGACGGCAAGGUGAACAAAGGUAUAUGUGAUAUACAUGUUAUAGAUGUAUACCUUACUAAUGCUCAUAGUAGCACCUGGGUAUUUGAUACUGGUUCUGUUGCUAAUAUUUGCAACUCGAAACAUGGGCUACGGAUUAAGCAAAGAUUGGCUAAGGACGAGGUGACGAUGCACGUGGGAAAUGGUUCCAAAGUCGAUGUGAUCGCGGUCGGCAUGCUACCUCUACAUCUACCUUCGGGAUUAGUAUUUGACCUAAAUAAUUGUUAUUUGGUGCCAGCAUUGAGCGUGAACAUUAUAUAUGGAUCUUAUUUGAUGCGAGACGGUUAUUCAUUUAAAUCAGAGAAUAAUGGUUGUUCUAUUUAUAUGAGUAAUAUCUUUUAUGGUCAUGCACCCAUGAAGAGUGGUCUAUUCUUAUUGAAUCUCGAUAGUAGUGACACACAUAUUCAUAAUGUUGAAGCCAAAAGAUGCAGAGUUGAUAAUGAUAGUGCAACUUAUUUGUGGCACUGCCGUUUAGGUCAUAUUGGUGUAAAGCGCAUGAAGAAACUCCAUACUGAUGGACUUUUGGAACCACUUGAUUAUGAAUCACUUGGUACAUGCGAACCGUUCCUCAUGGGCAAGAUGACUAAAACACCAUUCUCCAGAACUAUGGAGAGAGCAACAAAUUUGUUGGAAAUCAUACAUACAGAUGUAUGUGGUCCAAUGAAUGUUGAGGCUCGUGGUGGAUAUCAUUAUUUUCUCACCUUCACAGAUGAUUUAAGCAGAUAUGGGUAUAUCUACUUAAUGAAGCAUAAGUCUGAAACAUUUGAAAAGUUCAAAAAAUUUCAGAGUGAAGUUGAAAAUCAUCGUAACAAGAAAAUAAAAUUUCUAUGAUCUCAUCGUGGAGGAGAAUAUUUGAGUUAUGAGUUUGGUCUACAUUUAAAACAAUGCGGAAUAGUUUCGCAACUCACGCCACCAAGAACACCACAGCAUAAUGGUGUAUCUGAACGUUGUAAUCGUACUUUACUAGAUAUGGUGCGAUCUAUGAUGUCUCUUACAGAUUUACCUCUAUCAUUUUGGAUUAUGCUUUAGAGACGGCCGCAUUCAUGUUAAAUAGGGCACCAUCGACAUCCGUUGAGAUUCCUUAUGAACUGUGGUUUGGUAAGAAACCAAAGUUGUCAUUUCUGAAAGUUUGGGGCUGCGAUGCUUAUGUGAAAAAACUUCAACCUGAUAAUCUCGAACCCAAAUCGGAGAAAUGUGUCUUCAUAGGAUACCCAAAGGAGACUAUUGGGUACACCUUCUAUCACAGAUCCGAAGGCAAGACUUUUGUUGCCAAAUUCAGAGUUUUUCUAGAGAAGGAGUUUCUCUCGAAAGAAGUGAGUGGGAGGAAAGUAGAACUUGAUGAGGUAACUGUACCUGCUCCCUUAUUGGGAAGUAGUUCAUCACAAAAAACGGUUUCUGCGACACCUACAUCAAUUAGUGAGGAAGUUAAUUAUGAUGAUCAUGAAACUUUAGAUCAAGUUGUUACUGAACCUCGUAGGUCAACCAGAGUAAGAUCCGCACCAGAGUGGUACAGUAAUCCUGUUCUGGAAGUCAUGCUACUAGAUCAUGAUGAACCUACGAACUAUGAAGAAGCGAUGGUGAGCCCAGAUUCCACAAAAUGGCUUGAGGCCAUGAAUCUGAGAUGGGAUCCAUGUAUGAGAACAAAGUGUGAACUUUGGUUGACUUGCCCAUUGAUCGGCAAGCAAUUGAGAAUAAAUGGAUCUUCAAGAAGAAGACUGACACUGACGGUAAUGUUACUGUCUAUAAAGCUCGACUUGUUGCGAAAGGUUUUCGACAAGUUCAAGGGAUUGACUAUGAUGAGACCUUCUCACCCGUAGCGAUGCUUAAGUUUGUCUGAAUCAUGUUAGCAAUUGCCACGUUUUAUGAUUAUGAAAUAUGGCAGAUGGAUGUCAAAACUGCAUUCUUGAAUGGAUUUCUAGAAGAAAAGUUGUAUAUGAUGCAACCGGAAGGUUUUGUCGAUCCAAAGGGAGCUAACAAAGUGUGCAAGCUCCAGUGAUCCAUUGAUGGACUGGUGCAAGCCUCUCGGAGUUGGAAUAAACGCUUUGAUAGUGUGAUCAAAGCAUUUGGUUUUAUACAGACUUUUGGAGAAGCCUGUAUUUACAAGAAAGUGAGUGGGAGCUCUGUAGCAUUUCUAAUAUUAUAUGUGGAUGACAUAUUGUUGAUUGGAAAUGAUUUUGAAUUUCCGGAUAGCAUAAAGGGAUACUUGAAUAAGAGUUUUUCAAUGAAAUACCUCGGUGAAGCUGCUUAUAUAUUGGGCAUCAAGAUCUAUAGAGAUAGAUCAAGACGCUUAAUUGGACUUUCACAAAGCACAUACCUUGACAAAGUUUUGAAGAAGUUCAAAAUGGAUCAAGCAAAUAAAGGGUUCUUGCCUGUGUUACAAGGUGUGAAGUUGAGUAAGACUCAAUGCCCGACCACUGCAGAAGAUAGAGAGAAAAUGAAAGAUGUUCCCUAUGCUUCAGCCAUAGGAUCUAUCAUGUACGCAAUGUUGUGUACCAGACCUGAUGUGUGCCUUGAUAUAAGUCUAGCAGGGAGGUACCAAAGUAAUCCAGGAUUGGAUCACUGGACAGCGGUCAAGAACAUCCUGAAAUACCUGAAAAGGACUAAGGAUAUAUUUCUCAUUUAUGGAGGUGACAAAGAGCUCAUCAUAAACGGUUACGUUGAUGCAAGCUUUGACACUGAUACGGACGAUUCUAAAUCGCAAACCGGAUACGUGUUUACAUUAAACGGUGGAGCUGUCAGUUGGUGCAGUUCUAAACAAAGCGUCGUGGCGGGAUCUACAUGUGAAGCGGAGUACAUAGCUGCUUUGGAAGCAGCAAAUGAAGGAGUCUGGAUGAAGGAGUUCAUGACCGAUCUAGGUGUUAUACCUAGUGCAUCAGAUCCAAUGAAAAUCUUUUGUGACAAUACUGGUGCAAUUGCCUUGGCGAAGGAAUCCAUAUUUCACAAGAGAACCAAGCACAUCAAGAGACGCUUCAAUUCCAUUCGGAAUCUAGUCCAGGUGGGAGACAUAGAAAUUUGCAAGAUACAUACGGAUCUGAAUGUUGCAGACCCACUGACUAAGCCUCUUCCACGAGCAAAACAUGAUCAGCACCAAGGCUCCAUGGGUGUUAGAAUCAUUACUGUGUAAUCUAGAUUAUUGACUCUAGUGCAAGUGGGAGACUGAAGGAAAUAUGCCCUAGAGGCAAUAAUAAAGUUAUUAUUUAUUUCCUUAUAUCAUGAUAAAUGUUUAUUAUUCAUGCUAGAAUUGUAUUAACCAAAAACAUAAUACAUGUGUGAGUACAUAGACAAACAGAGUGUCACUAGUAUGCCUCUACUUGACUAGCUCAUUGAUCAAAGAUGGUUAUGUUUCCUAACCAUAGACAUGAGUUGUCAUUUGAUUAACGGGAUCACAUCAUUAGGAGAAUGAUGUGAUUGACUUGACCCAUUAUGUUAGCCUAGCACUUGAUCGUUUAGUUUGUUGCUAUUGCUUUCUUCAUGACUUAUACAUGUUCCUAUGACUAUGAGAUUAUGCAACUCCCGUUUACCGGAGGAACACUUUGUGUGCUACCAAAUGUCACAACGUAACUGGGUGAUUAUAAAGGUGCUCUAUAGGUGUCUUCGAAGGUACUUGUUGGGUUGGCGUAUUUUGAGAUUAGGAUUUGUCACUCGAUUGUCGGAGAGGUAUCUCUGGGCCCUCUCGGUAAUGCACAUCACUUAAGCCUUGCAAGCAUUGUAACUACUGAGUUAGUUGCGGGAUGAUGUAUUACAGAAUGAGUAAAGAGAUUUCCAAGUAACGAGAUUGAACUAGGUAUUGAGAUACCGACGAUCGAAUCUCGGGCAAGUAAUAUACUGAUGACAAAGGGAACAACGUAUGUUGUUAUGUGGUCUGACCGGUAAAGAUCUUCAUAGAAUACGUGGGAGCCAAUAUGAGCAUCCAGGUUCCGCUAUUGGUUAUUGACCGGAGACGUGUCUCGGUCAUGUCUAUUAUCAAACCCGUAGGGUCCGCACGCUUAACGCUACGAUGACAGUUAUAUUAUGAGUUUUAUGUUUUGAUGUACCAAAGGUUGUUCGGAGUCCCGGAUGUGAUCACGGACAUAACGAGGAGUCUCGAAAUGAUCGAGACAUGAAGAUUGAUAUAUUGGAAGCCUAUGUUUGGAUAUCGGAAGUGUUCCGGGUGAAAUCAGGAUUUUACCGGAUUACCGGGAGGUUACCGGAACCCCUCGGGGGCUUAAUGGGCCUACAUGGGCCUUAGUGGAAAAGGAGGGAAGCUAAGGAAGUGUGGGGCGCCCCCUCCUCCCCAAGGCCCAAACCGAAUUGGUUUAGGGCAAGGGGGCCGGCCCCCCUCUUUCCUUCUUCCCCCCCUCCCAAGUCCUAUUCCAACUAGGAAAGGGGGGAGUCCUACUCCCGGUGGGAGUAGGACUCCUCCUGGCGCGCCUAUGCCCUGGCCGGCCGCACCCCCCCUUGCUCCUUUAUAUACAGGGGCAGGGGGCACCCUAGAAACACAACAUUAGAUCAUUGAUCUCUUAGCCGUGUGCGGUGCCCCCCUCCACCAUAGUCCACCUCGAUAAUACUGUAGCGGUGCUUAGGCGAAGGCCUGCGUCGGUAGAACAUCAACAUUGUCACCACGCCGUCGUGCUGACGAAGCUCUCCCUCAACACUCGGCUGGAUCGGAGUUCGAGGGACGUCAUCGGGCUGAACGUGUGCUGAACUCGGAGGUGCCGUAUGUUCGGUACUUGAUCGGUCAGAUCGUGAAGACGUAUGACUACAUCAACCGCGUUGUGCUAACGCUUCCGCUUUUAGUCUAGGAGGGUACGUGGACAACACUCUCCCCUCUCAUUGCUAUGCAUCACCAUGAUCUUGCGUGUGCGUAGGAAUUUUUUUGAAAUUACUACGUUCCCCAACAGUAGGAGCCCAUCCGCGCUCUCCGCGUCGCUUGCCGUGCCCUGUAGUACCGUUCUCGAUCAUGGCCGAACUCCGGUGAGGUUCCCGAGCUCGCCGCUGCCACCUCCGUCCACCUCCGGCCUCGUAACCACUCCGGUUGGACGCGGCGUCAUGUUCCCGUUCGAGCGCGCCAAGUCGCGCGAAAAACAGACGCCCGUAGGUGAAUCCCGACGCUCUCCUGGCCACUCCGCCGUGGUUUCGGCUCGUCGGAGCCACUCUGGCACCGGCCGCCGACGUGGCACACCUGGGGCCACCCCCUGGGUCACUGCCAGUGGGGCCCGUGGUCCCUUGUUGACCAGUUGACCUGUUCAACUGUGCUGACUGGGCAGGCCCCAGCCACUAACGUGCGGGCCCCACCGCUUAAUCCUCUAAUUAAAUUGUUUUCAUAAUUAAAACUAAUUAAUUUAGCUAAAUAGUCACUGACACGUGGGGCCCAGCUGCUAAUUAACCACGUUUAAUUAAAGUAACCCAUUGUUAGCCCUCUGUCUAUGACAUGUAGGACCCACUGGUCAGUUUGACCAGUCAUCGGGUCUAUUGACCUGCUGAUGUCAUGCUGAUACUCUGAUGGCGUCAUAAUUCCUUUUCUGUUAAUUUAAUUUAAUUCCAGAAAAUGAUUAAAACUUUGAAAAUUUGUAGAAAUUAAACCGUAACUCCAAUGAAAAUGUUUUCUAUAUGAAAGUUGCUCAGAAAAAUCCAACAAAUCUGAAUGCGUGGUCCUUUCACCUGUCACAUGCCCCUAUCAUGCUAAACAUGGAACCGUCCCCUCUCUUUCAUCUGUGCGGAAUUCGUCUAACGCCGAGAAUUCAUCCUUGGAUGUUUAUCCCCUCCAUCUGCAACGUGUAGUACUAUGUUAGGACAACCCUAGCUCUGCCUAUCCUCAUGUAAUGCUUAGUGAUGCAUCUGUUUGCUCUGUAUUUACUGUUUCUUCCCCCUCUUCUCUUCGCUAGACCCCGAUACCGCUGCUGAUGCCCCUGAGAUCGACUACAUCGAUGACGACACUUCUUCCUUUUCAACAGAGCUUCCAGGCAAGCAAACCCCCCUUGAGCAUUCCGAUAUCACUCAUUUCUUUCCCUCUCAUGCUUGCAUUAGAACUACUACUGCUUUCUGUAUGAUCCUACUCUGAUGCAUAGCCUAUUGUUGUUACCUGCUUAUCCUAAACUACUUAGUAUAGGUUGGUUAGUGCUCCAUUAGUGACCCCCACCUUGUCCCAGUUGCCCCGCUUUAUGUUCGAUGACUCAAUCAAGGUGAUCGACAUCUAGGCCCCGACACCUCACAUCACCCCCCUAGUUGUAUGACUCUGCAGAGUUACCAUCGAGUGCCGAGGGUGGAACCUCUUACAUCACUCCUGAUGAGAUCUCUGUAGUGUAGCUAUACGGUCGAGGUCAUCGAGGGUGAUUUCCUCCUUAACCACUUCCGUUACGGCUCUGUCGUCCAACCCCUCAAGUGUGAACCUCGAGGAUGGAUCCUCUUACGUUCACCUUGGUGAUAACAUCGAGUGGAAUUCACCGGGGGUGAUUCCUCGGGUUUUCCCCUUGGUGUUUGACACAUAGUUACUAUGGUUACUAUGACUUUACACUGAACCAUGUUACUAAAGACGGGUCGGCCCUCAGGGGUACCCGCGCGAGCUUAAUAGCGAGUGAUGUGGAGUCGGGUUGACCUGGAAGGUGCCCGCGAGAUACUUACGAGGCGUGGCCGGGCAUUCUUAGCCCUUGUCGCAAGUACUCGAGACGGGGCGACGGGGUCACAUCUUUCGUGAGUCUCUGCUCGUGACCGCACUGCCAACACACUAACGGUUUGGAUAUUUGAUCUGAGAGGCCUCUGGCCUGAUAGCACUAACCAUCACGUGGGCAUUGUAUGGGCGUUCUGCGUCAUAUGCAUCAUUUGAAGCUUAAUAGACGUCAGCAAUUGAGCGGUGCACGCCGGGUUGGACUGCGUAAGCUCCUGCCUUGUUGAAGGAGGUAGCUAGGUCUGCUCACCGGCCGCGUACGCAACGUGCAGGAGUUCCCUGGGAGAUGGCCCAUGACCCCUGGGGCAUAGGCUUAGUCCGGUGUGCUGACCUCUCUAUUAAGCCUAGGUCGGGUUGCGGCGUAUUAUUUGGUCGAGGUCGGGCAUGACCCAGGAAAGUGUGUCCAGCCAGAGUUAAUCAAGCAUGAUGGGUAAGUUGGUGCACCCCUGCAGGGAAGAAAACAUCUACUGAUAGCCUGUCCUACGGUAACGGACACUUGGAGUUGUAUCCUGAUCGAUACAACUAGAACUGGAUACUUGUGAUGAGAAAUGAAUUGUGAAUGAGAAAUGGAUAGUAUGGCUCUGGGAUUGCUUUCUCGCAGGGAGUCGAGAAAGGAUCUCUGGCCGAGGUUGAUAACACUAUUACUACUUUACAUUAUGUCGAUUUGUACUCUUCUAUAUGCUGGAAGAUGCUUGAAGAUGCUUGAAGAUGCUAGUCUUUGAUAGGCUAGGCUUUCCCCUUCUUUUCUAACAUUUUGCAGUUUAGUCCACAGAUACAACCCAUUCCUUUGAUACAGAUGCAUACUUAGUUUAGAUCUGAUGUAAGUCUUGCGAGUACUUUGGAUGAGUACUCAUGGUUGCUUUGCUACCUCUUUUCCCCCAUACCCAAUUGUUGCGACCAGUUGACGGAUCCCAGGAGCCAGACGACACCACUGAUGACUACUGCUACCCCGAGGGUGCCUACUACUACGUGACGGCCGCUGAUGAUCUGGAGUAGUUAGGAGGCUCCCAGGCAGGAGGCCUUGCCUUUUCGAUCGAUGUUGCUUUUAUGCUAGCCUUCUUAAGGCAAACUUGUUGAACUCAUGUCUGUACUCAGAUAUUGUUGCUUCCGCUGACUCUUGUGUAUUCGAGCUUAUGUAUUUGAGCCCUCGAGGCCCCUGGCUUGUAAUAUAAAGCUUGUAUUAUUUUAAUGUGUAUCUAGAGUUGUGUUGUGAUAUGUUCCCGUGAGUCCUUGAUCUUGAUCGUACACAUUUGCGUGUAUGAUUAGUGUACAAUUGAAUCGAGGGCGUCACAUGUUCAUGCAUCUAGUUGAAUCAAAACCAACAUAGCCUCUACGAUAUUUAUGUUCAUGGUGUUCAUAUCCUACUCAUACUAGUGUCCAAUGUUACUUAUGCAUAAUGCAUGUUCAUGACCGUUGUUGCUCUCUAGUUGGCCGCUUAUCCACCUAUUUGCUAGCCUUCGCCUGUACCAAGUGAGAACUUUGCUUGUACAUCAAAAACCUUGAACCAAAGUUAUUCCAGAUGAGUCCACCAUACCUACCUAUAUGCGGUAUUACCCUGCCGUCCUAAGUAAAUUUGCAUGUGCCACCUCUAAAAACUUUUAAUAAAUAUCCUUUUUGUGUGCCUGGAUCGUUCAUGGAACGACAUGAGGUGGUCGGUAUCUUCCAUGCUAAGCGGGUUAUUCUCAGGUCGAGUGUUUAUUCACUCGCCAUCGCACGAGAAAAGGGUGGUAAUAGGGAUGCCCAGUCCUAAACUGCAAACAGAAAAAGUUUACAAAUAAUCAAACAAAAACUCCCAAUGGAGUCAAAACCUUUACUUUUAUCGCUUGGGAACCGCCACUAGCGUGUUUAGCAUGGAAGAUAUUGAUAACUGAUGGUCGUCAAGUAAACAAGAAGGUGCAUGUCUCAAAAUAUCAUUUACCUCUGCUUUAAAAUUUUGAGCUUUGGCACCUCUGCAAAUCACUACUUCCCUCUGUGAAGGGACUAUCUAUUUACUUUUAUGUUGUGUCAUCACCUUCUAAAAUAACCGCCAGAACCUGAGAGCACUGUUGUCAUGCUUAUGCAUUGUGUAUAGCUAAUUUUGGGUGCAUCAUGACUGGAUCUUUUCUACCAUGAAUUACAAUGUUUAGUCGCUACUUUAACUUUGGAGGUGCUCUGCAUUUAUGUUUUGCAGUCUUAGAAAGGGCUGAUGAGAUACCACUAUUGUCAUAUUAUAUCAUGGUUGUUUUGACAAUGUGUUGCCGUUUGAGAUAUCUUAUUAUUGCUCGCUAGCUUAUUAUGUUAUUGAUAUGAGUUAAUAUAAUCUUUAAGAGUUAUCAUCGGCAUGGUUAGUUAUAAUGUUGGCUGAAAACCUGGGUGUUGUUUAAUCCUAUUUAUGCAAACAAGAGCAAAAGAGUUCGUAAAAGUUUAUAUUUCUCACUUUUAGUUUAUCAACUGAAUUGUUUGAGGACAAGCAAAGGUAUAAGCUUGGGGAAGUUGAUAUGUCUCCAACGUAUCUACUUUUCCUCUUGUUUUGGACUCUAAUUUGCAUGAUUUGAAUGAAACUAACCCCGGACUGACGUUGUUUUCAGCAGAACUAUCAUGGUGUUGUUUUUGUGCAAAAAUAAAAGUUCUCGGAAUGGAAUGAAACUUUGCGAGGAUUUUUUAUAUCAAUAAAGAGAAUUUCUGGAACCAAGAUCCACCGAAGGGGGGGGGCACCUGGGUGGGCAAAACCCACCAGGCACGCCCCCCUCCUGGCGUGCCCAGGUGGGUUGUCCCCACCUGGUGGCCCCGCAGACCCUGAAACCGACGCUAUAAAAUUCUAUUUUUCUAGAAAAAAUCAGGGAGAAAUAAUUAUCGCAGUCCACAAGAUGGAGCCGCCGUUUGAUACAUCUCCAACGUAUCUAUAAUUUUUGAUUGUUCCAUGCUAUUAUAUUAUCCAUCUAGGAUGUUUUAUAUGCAUUUAUAUGCUAUUUUAUAUGAUUUUUGGGAAUAACCUAUUAACCUAGAGCCCAGUGCCAGUUUAUGUUUUUUCCUUGUUUUUGAGUUUUACAGAAAAGGAAUACCAAAAGGCGUCCAAUUGACGCGCUAAUUUUUAAUGAUUUUUGUAUGGACCAAAAGAAGCCCUCGAAGUAAAAGAGUUGGGCCAGAAGAGUCCUGGGCCAUNNNNNNNNNNNNNNNNNNNNNNNNNNNNNNNNNNNNNNNNNNNNNNNNNNNNNNNNNNNNNNNNNNNNNNNNNNNNNNNNNNNNNNNNNNNNNNNNNNNNNNNNNNNNNNNNNNNNNNNNNNNNNNNNNNNNNNNNNNNNNNNNNNNNNNNNNNNNNNNNNNNNNNNNNNNNNNNNNNNNNNNNNNNNNNNNNNNNNNNNNNNNNNNNNNNNNNNNNNNNNNNNNNNNNNNNNNNNNNNNNNNNNNNNNNNNNNNNNNNNNNNNNNNNNNNNNNNNNNNNNNNNNNNNNNNNNNNNNNNNNNNNNNNNNNNNNNNNNNNNNNNNNNNNNNNNNNNNNNNNNNNNNAUGCCAAAAAUUCCUAUAAAUACCCAAACCUCCAGAAAAUAACCUAGAUCGGGAGUUCCGACGCCGCAAGCCUCUGUAGCCACCAAAAACCAAUCGGGACCCUGUUUCGGCACCCUGCCGGAGGGGGGUCCAUCACCGGUGGCCAUCUUCAUCAUCCCGGCGCUCUCCAUGAUGAGGAGGGAGUAGUUCACCCUCGGGGCUGAGGGUAUGUACCAGUAGCAAUGUGUUUGAUCUCUCUCUCGUGUUCUUGAUUCGGCACGAUUCUAAUGUAUCGCGAGCUUUGCUAUUAUAGUUGGAUCUUAUGAUGCUUCUCCCCCUCUACUCUCUUGUAAUGGAUUGAGAUUUCCCUUUGAAGUUAUCUUAUUGGAUUGAGUCUUUAAGGAUUUUAGAACACUUGAUGUAUGUCUUGCAUGUGCUUAUCUGUGGUGACAAUGGGAUAUUCACGUGAUCUACUUGAUGUAUGUUUUGGUGAUAAACUUGCGGGUUCCGUGACCUUGUGAACUUAUGCAUAGGGGUUGGCACACGUUUUCUUCUUGACUCUCCAGUAGAAACUUUGGGGCACUCUUUGAAGUUCUUUGUGUUGGUUGAAUAGAUGAAUCUGAUAGUGUGUGAUGCAUAUCAUAUAAUCAUACCCACGGAUACUUGAGGUGACAUUGGAGUAUCUAGGUGACAUUAGGAUUUUGGUUGAUUUGUGUCUUAAGGUGUUAUUCUAGUACGAACUCUAGGAUAGAUUGAACGGAAAGAAUAGCUUCAUGUUAUUUUACUACAGACUCUUGAAUAGAUCGAUCAGAAAGAAUAACUUUGAGGUGGUUUCAUACCCUACAAUAAUCUCUUCGUUUGUUCUCUGCUAUUGUGACUUUGGAGUGACUCUUUGUUCCAUGUCGAGGGAUAGUUAUAUGAUCCAAUUAUGUUAUUAUUGUUGAUAGAACUUGCACUAGUGAAAGUAUGAACCCUAGGCCUUGUUUCAACGCAUUGCAAUACCGUUUGUGCUCACUUUUAUCAUUAGUUACCUUGCUGUUUUUAUAUUUUCAGAUUACAAAAACCUAUAUCUAUCAUCCAUAUUGCACUUGUAUCACCAUCUCUCCGCCGAACUAGUGCACCUAUACAAUUUACCAUUGUAUUGGGUGUGUUGGGGACACAAGAGGCUCUUUGCUAUUUGGUUGCAGGGUUGUUUGAGAGAGACCAUCUUCAGCCUACACCUCCCACGGAUUGAUAAACCUUAGGUCAUCCACUUGAGGGAAAUUUGCUACUGUCCUACAAACCUCUGCACUUGGAGGCCCAACAACGUCUACAAGAAGAAGGUUGUGUGUAGACAUGAAUCUCUUUUCUGGCGCCGUUGCCGGGGAGGUUAGCGCUUAAAGGUAUAUCUUUAGAUCUUGCAAUUGAAUCUUUUUGUUUCCUGUUUUAUCACUAGUUUAGUCUAUAAAAGAAAACUACAAAAAAUGGAAUUAAGGUUGCCUCAUAUGCUUCAUCUUUUUAAUGUCUUUCGUGAAAAUAAGGAUUCCGAUAAUUGUGCCAAAGUGUUAGAAGAAGAAUGCUUUAAAAUGUUUGGCACUAAAUGUUUGAAUGAUGAGCAUGAUUGCAAUGUUGUUAGUAUGAACCCUUUGAAUAUCCAUGAGGCUAAUGAUAUGCAAAGCCACAAGCUUGGGGAUGCUAUGUUUGAUGAAGAUGAUAUUUUUUGUCCCGCAAGCUUUGAUGAGAAUAUUUAUUAUGAUGAAAGCAUGACUCCUAUUUAUGAUGAUUAUAUUGAUGAAAGUGGGUUUGGAAGAGUGUCAACUUUAGGAAGUAAUGAUCCCACUAUUUUGGAGGGUUUUGAAUCUUAUUGUGAUAAUUAUGAAAGUGGAUUUGGCAAGGUCAUGACUUUAUUUAGUGAUGAAUCCACUAUUUCAGAAGAAGCUCCAAUUGAUUAUGAGAACAGAGUUGCUAUCUAUGAUGAUUAUUGUGAUGACAUGUAUGCUAUAAAUAAUAAUGAUAACCAUGAAACUUGUCAUCAUGAUUUUAAUUUUCAAUUGGAUUAUGCCUCACAUGAUAGUUACUUUGUUGAGUUUGCUCCCAGUAUUCCGAAUGAGAAGAAUUUUGCUUAUGUGAAGAGUAGUAAAUUUUCUAUGCUUAUGAAUCAUGAAAAGAAUGCUUUAUGUGAUGGUUAUAUUGUUGAAUUCAUUCAUGAUGCCAUUGAAAAUUAUUAUGAGAGAGGAACAUAUGCUUUUACUUAUUGCAAUAAUAUCUAAUUUCCUCUCUAUGUGUUGAAAAUCUUGAAGUUAUCCUUGUGUUUACCUUCCUAUGCAAGUUGAUUCUUGUUCCCACAAGUUGUUUGCUCACAAAAUCCCUAUGCAUAGGAAGUGGGUUAGACUUAAAUUUGCUAGUAAUAUUCUUCAUGAUGCUCUCUUUAUGUUUCAAUUCUUAUCUUUUAUGUGAGCAUCAUUGAAAUCAUCAUGCCUAGCUAGGGGCGUUAAACGAUAGCGCUUGUUGGGAGGCAACCCAAUUUUAUUUUUGUUCUUUACUAUUUGUUCCUGUUUAGUAAUAAAUAAUUUAUCUAGCCUUUGUUAUGAUUGUGUUUUUUAUGUUUUAAUUAGUGUUUGUGCCAAGUAAAGCCUUUAGGAUCUUCUUGGGUGAUUGUUGUUUGAUCUUGCUGAUAAAAACAGAAAGUAUAUGCUCAUGAAAAUAAUUUUUAUUUUUUACAAGAGAGUGAUAAAAUACCAAUUCCAACUGCAGUAGAUCAAUAUACAAAUUAUUUAGGUCUUCCCAAAUUUUCAGAAUUUUGGGAGUUACAGAAGUAUUCGAAACCUCCUGAUUGGUACAGACUGUUCUGUUUUUGACAGAUUCUGUUUUCAUUGUGUUGUUUGCUUAUUUUGAUGAAUCUAUGAGUAGUAUCGGAGGGUAUGAACCAUAUAUAAGUUGGAAUAUAGUAGAUAUUACACCAAUAUGAAUUUAGAAUGAGUUCACAACAGUACCUAAGUGGUGAUUUAUUUUCUUAUACUAACGGAGCUUACAAGUUUUCUGUUAAGUUUUGUGUUGUGAAGUUUUCAAGUUUUGGGUAAAGAUUCAACGGACUAUGGAAUAAGGAGUGGCAAGAGCCUAAGCUUGGGGAUGCCCAAGGCACCCCAAGGUAAUAUUAAAGGACAACCAAGAGCCUAAGCUUGGGGAUGCCCCGGAUGGCAUCCCCUCUUUCGUCUUCAUUCAUCGGUAACUUUACUUGGAGCUAUAUUUUUAUUCACCACAUGAUAUGUGUUUUGCUUGGAGCGUCAUUUUAUUUUUAUUUUUUUGCUUGCUGUUUCAAUAAAAUACCAAGAUAUUAAAUUCUUAAAUGUUAGAGAGUCUUCACAUAGUUGCAUAAUUAUUCAACUACUCAUUGAUCUUCACUUAUAUCUUUCGGAGUAGUUUGUCGUUUGCUCUAGUGCUUCACUUAUAUCUUUUAGAGAACGAUUGUGGUUUUAUUUUGAAGAAAUUGUUGAUCUCUCAUGCUUCACUUAUAUUAUUUUGAGAGUCUUUUAGAACAUCAUGGUAAUUUGCUUUGGUUAUAAAUUUAGUCCUAAUAUGAUGGGCAUUCAAGAUGGGUAUAAUAAAAACUUUCAUAUAGAGUGCAUUAUGAGAAGUUUGAUACUUGAUAAUUGUUUUGAGAUAUAAAGGUGGUGAUAUUGGAGUCGUGCUAGUUGAGUAAUUGUGAAAUUGAGAAAUACUUGUGUUGAGGUUUGCAAGUCCCGUAGCAUGCACGUAUGGUAAUCGUUGUGUGACAAAUUUGAAGCAUGAGGUGUUCUUUGAUUGCCUUCCUUAUGAGUGGCGGUCGGGGAUGAGUGAUGGUCUUUUCCUACCAAUCUAUCCCCCUAGGAGCAUGCGCGUAGUGCUUGGUUUUCAUGACUUGUAGAUUUUUGCAAAUAAGUAUGUGAGUUCUUUAUGACUAAUGUUAAGUUCAUGGAUUAUACGCACUCUCACCCUUCCACCAUUGCUAGCCUCUAUUGUGCCGCGCAACUUUUGCCGGUACCAUAAACCCAUCAUUUACCUUCCUCAAAACAGCCACCAUACCUACCUAUUAUGGCAUUUCCAUAGCCAUUCCGAGAUAUAUUGCCAUGCAACUUUCCACCAUUCCGUUUAUUAUGACACGCUUCAUCAUAGUCACAUUGCUUUGCAUGAUCAUGUAGUUGACAUCGUAUUUGUGGCAAAGCCACCAUUCAUAAUUUUUCAUACAUGUCACUCUUGAUUCAUUGCACAUGCCGGUACACCGCCGGAGGCAUUCACAUAGAGUCAUAUUUUGUUCUAAGUAUCGAGUUGUAAUUCUUGAGUUGUAAGUAAAUAAAAGUGUGAUGAUCUUCAUUAUUAGAGCAUUGUCCCAUGUGAGGAAAGGAUGAUGGAGACUAUGAUUCCCCCGCAAGUCGGGAUGAGAUUGCGGACUAAAAAAAAGAGGCCAUAAAAAAAGAGAAGGCCCAAACAAAAAAUAAAAAAAUGAGAGAAAAAGAGAGAAGGGGCAAUGUUACUAUCAUUUUCUACACUUGUGCUUCAAAUAGCACCAUGAUCUUCAUGAUAGAGAGUCUCUUAUGUUGUCACUUUCAUAUACUAGUGGGAAUUUUUAAUUAUAGAACUUGGCUUGUAUAUUCCAAUGAUGAGCUUCCUUAAAUUGCCAUAGGUCUUCGUGAGCAAGCAAGUUGGAUGCACACCCACUUAGUAUAACAUCCCAAAAUUUCGAUUUGGAAUGUUAUACAUAGAUCAUUCAUGCAUAUCAUAUUUUAUUGCAUUUCGUUUCUCAAUCCUCGAAAACCUAAGCAACUCAAGGACCCUCGGAGAGAGUUGGGGAUUUCUUUGUUUUCAUAUUUGAAUUUUAUCAAAUAUUGAAACGAGGAUUUUGGUUUUAAUUAUUUUUCUCUCCGAAAAUAUUUUAUAUUAAAAUAUAUGAGAGGAGAUAAUAUGAAAUAUUGGAGGAAAAUAUUAAAAUCAAAUAUUUGAUUUUAUCCGGAGUUUAUUGCUAUUUAUUUGAACUAGAAAAAUUGCACGUUUUCAAAGUUGCAUUUUAGGGCCAAGAAAAUGCUCAUCUUGUUCUAAAUAUUUUAUUUAGACGGUGAAAAUUUGUUUUGGCAUUUUUAGAAUUUUAUUUUAUUAUCUAGAAUUUAUUUAAGUUCUAGCAAAAUUAUUUAAAAAGAAAAAAGUCGCAGCGCCCGACUAGGCCGAAGCCCAGCCGAGCCGGCCCGCCCCGCGCCUCGUCUCCGACCUGGAGACCGCGAGCACCGUCGCCGCUAGCCGAGUCCGGCCGGGACUCCUCCUCUCCGCGCUGCCUUGCCCCCUCCCCCUCCUUAAAUACACCGCCCCCGCACCCCACCCCGCCACCCAACCCGAGCCGCCCUGCCGCCGCCGUCGCUUGCAGCCGCGCCGCCCCGCGCCACCCGCCGCCGCAGCCCCGCUUCGCCAGAGCCGUCCUGCCUCAUCGGACCUCGCCGGAGGUAUAAGCCGAUGUUCGUUUUUUUUAAACGAUCCGUUUUUUAGAAACCCUAGUUUGUUUUUUUAGAUCGGUUCGCCAGUUUUUCUUAGUUUAGUUACUCUGCGGACAUUCGUCCGUACGUUCGUUUUAACAAACGGCUUUCGCUCGUUAGUUACAAACAACGAAUGUUCGUUCGUUAGCCUGUUCGUCAGUUUUCUUUUUCUCGGAUUUUCCGUGAUUAUUUUCAAUCGUGAUUUCUGAUCCGAUUUUCGUUUUAGUUUAUCUUUUCACUCGUUUAUCGGAAUCAGGCGAUUCAAGCGCCUAGAUCUUCGUCUCGAAACCCUCUUUCUGUUUAAUCAACUUGAACAAGAUUUUGGUACUGUAAAAUUUGACCUUAGUCCAGAUUAGUAAACGGAUCUUGUUUCUUUCGCAAUUUGAGUUUUGUUGCUCUGUUUGAUUUGAUUAUUUUCCCAAACCGGAGUUCUUAAGUUGAACUUUCUGGUUAGAUCUUCUUAUUUGAGAUUUACCCGUGUUUCUUUGCUUGAUUGCUUAUGUAUGCUAUUGUUUGUUUGCGAUAGAACACCCGGAGUGCGAAGCGUGCUACUAUGAGUCCCUAGAUUUUGCGGAUCGUCAGCAAGGCAAGUAACACUUUGAGCAUACCCCUUUAUCACCCAGUUUUUAUGCAUUAGUUCCAAUCCUCAAACAUUGCAUGAUUAGGAAGUGAUUAACAUGUGGGUUGGGAAUCAGUUGAUGAGGUAGAACCUAUUGCCCUGUUAUAUUCAAACCUUGGGAGUUACUUCUACGUAUUGCUUAUAUGGCUAUGCUAUGCUCGUAGACGUGGUUUGGGUGAGUGAAAUCCAUGACAGAUGUGAGAUUGUUAAUUUAAUGGUUCAACUUAAGGUGGCAACUUGAAUACACAUAUGGGUGGAUUGUUUGUUGGGCACCUGGGGAAUCCAGUGUUAUCCUAGGAUAUCCCGGAGUACCCGUGUGAUCAUCCUAAGGUCCGCCACCCAGGCUCAAAGGAAACUGAGAUAUUUUCAUGCAAGAAACUUCCGUGUGCAGCCACAAGCUAUUAUGGGCUCUGGCAUAGUUGAGUAAGUUGCGUGAAGCUUCCGAAGAGGUGGAUUAGUAGGUGGAGGGAUGUAGGUUGGUAUGGUCUGCCCGGAGUAAGGAGUUAAUGCUUCUGAAAGUCUGUGUCUCGGUCAUCCAUUUCUCAAACACCAUGUAGUGCGAGAAAUCCAACGGUGGAGAUCGAGUCUUGUGGGGAAAAGUGCGCAAACCUCUGCAGAGUGUAUAAACUAAUCAUGGUUAGUCGUGUCCCGGUUAUGGACAUCUUGAGUAUCUAGUACUUGGAGUAUCCUAAGUAUCUCAUCAUUAUUAAAUAAUAUUGUUGGGUUGUUAAUUACUUUAAUUGGGAAUGAGUUGGAGGAACCUUCUCAAUGAUGUUUCAACUACCAUGAUAGUUAAAUAAAAUAUAUUCCUUUGUUGUAGGGAAAAAUUGACUUUUCGCAAAAACUAUAACCAUAGAGCUUUCCACCAGCCAAAUAUGCAUGUAGUGAUAGCAUUAUUAUGUUCUUGCUCUACUAUGUUAUUUUGCCAGCAUAUUCCAUGUGCUGACCCGUUUUCGAGCUGCAACGUAUUAUGUUGCAGACUUUUCAGACGAGGAGUGAGGUUCUUUAGGUCGUUGCCGUGCAUCUCCGCUAUGUCGUUGGAGUUGAUGGACUCACUUUAUCUUCCAAGCCUUCCGCUGUUAUCGUAUUAGAUGGUCUUAAGCCAUAUAUAUUGUAAUAAGUUCUCUUUUGAGACAUUCGAUGUAAUAAGUGUGUGAUUGCUACUCUGAUAUAAAACCUCGAGUACUGUGUGUGUCAGCAUUACCGAUCCAGGGAUGACACUGAAGCACGGAGACUUAACCGUUUGAGGUCGGGUCGCUACAAGAUGGUAUUAGAGCACACGCUGAGUGUAGGACACGACCACUAAGCUAAAACCCUAGAUCACUAUUCUCUUCUC
rnacentral:lncRNA from 1 species